rnacentral:lncRNA from 1 species
AUUAUUUUAUAUGCAAAUUAAUUAAUAUUAAUAUGAAAGUAUUUUUUUAUUUUUCAUAUUUUUUAAUAAAAUAAUACUAUAAUAAAAUUUAAAUUUGAACAUAUGCAUAUCCAACACUUUCAACUUUAUCAUUUUAACUAUAAUUUUUGUAUCAAUAACUUUGUCAAUCACCUCUUGUUGGUGGUUGGUCAUUUUUCAUCCUCUUCCUUAGUUAUUUUUUUGCCCUCCUCUCAUUUUAGUAACUCCUUUUGGGGGCUCGUCUAAGCUUUAAUGGCUCGUCUCUAUUUCGGUGUGGGAUUUCUCGAUGCAGAUGUCCUCCGCUUUAGGUGAGAGUUUCUGCUGCAGCUACGAAUGAUGGAUGGGUGGUGGCACUAAAACCCCAGAUGCUACUUUGUUGUUUUGUCUCCAGAUUCAAGAUGUUUGUUGCUUCAAUCCUAUUUGGUGGGUGAUCCGAGUUGGGUGUUGCUAGUGGCUAUUUUCGAUCUUUUCGAGGUGGUUGUGUGGUGUCUCUCGACUGGCAAUUGAGGAUGUUUGGCUCAGUCUUGUGCUCCAUUGUUUUCUCACUCUCUUGUGAGCAAGGUCUUUAGUGAAAAUGGAGGCUCGAUAAUCGAGAUUAUACGCACUAAUUUUUUCUUAGUGGCUGACACCAAAGUAACUAGUGAUGAUUCCUUUUUUUCUUUUUUCUUUUUUUGCUUUUAUGGGGUUUGACCGUUUAUGUUUGGGAUCAUGGUUAUUGGUACAAUUGGCUUUGGCUAUAUGCCAUGGUUGCUCUGUCUGUGAUGAUUGUUGUUCUAUGAAAUGAAACUUCUUGUUGUAUUCUAAUUUUGAUUUUAAUUAUAAAUAUUCAAAGAAAUAAAUAUAUUAAUUUAUUUUUAUAUUAAAUAACAAUAAUAAUAUGUAAAUAUAAAACGAUUAUAUUAAUAGUUUAUAACAAUAAUAUCAAACUAAAAUUUUAUAUAUAAAAUUUCACAAAAUUAAAAUUAAUGUAUAAAAGUACAUAUUAUAUUAAAAUUUAUAUAUAAUUUAACAGCACGUUUGGUUCGUUGUAAUGGAAUAGAGGCGUAAUAGGUAAUUCUUUUGUUUGGUUGAAUGUAAUGGAAUAGAUGCGUAAUGGUAUUCUUGUGUUUGGUUGAAUGGAAUAGAGGUGUAAUAGCAUAAAGAAAAAAGUUAAAAUGACUAGAAUACCCUUAGCAGAAUUUUUUUAAGGUAGAUAAUUAUUGUUAUUGUUAUUAAAUUUUAAUAAGAUUAUUAAUAUAAAUAAUAAAUAAUUUAAUCAUAUUUUAACAUAAUUGUUAUAGAAUAUAAUUUAAUAAAAUAUACAAUUUAAUAAAAUUGUUAAUAAAUAUUCUUAUAUGAAUUUACUAAUAAAAUCAUAAUAUAUAAUACUAAAAUAUAAUUUAAAAUAAUUAUUAUUAAAUAUAAUUUAAUAAUAAUAUAUAAUUUAAUAAAAUUCUUAUUCUUAUAUGAAUUUACUAAAAUCAUCGGUAUACUUUAUACGAUUUAUUNNNNNNNNNNNNNNNNNNNNNNNNNNNNNNNNNNNNNNNNNNNNNNNNNNNNNNNNNNNNNNNNNNNNNNNNNNNNNNNNNNNNNNNNNNNNNNNNNNNNNNNNNNNNNNNNNNNNNNNNNNNNNNNNNNNNNNNNNNNNNNNNNNNNNNNNNNNNNNNNNNNNNNNNNNNNNNNNNNNNNNNNNNNNNNNNNNNNNNNNNNNNNNNNNNNNNNNNNNNNNNNNNNNNNNNNNNNNNNNNNNNNNNNNNNNNNNNNNNNNNNNNNNNNNNNNNNNNNNNNNNNNNNNNNNNNNNNNNNNNNNNNNNNNNNNNNNNNNNNNNNNNNNNCCUAUCCCCUGUGUGCCUUGGCAAGUAAUUCUUUUUUUUCCUCUUUGAAGAUGAGGAACCCCCUUGGUUUUUGUCUGUUUGCGGCUCCGUGGUAGCAACAUCCAUGUCAUCGAAAGAGACAUUAGCAUCACAAUCAUACUAUUUGUUUCUGUCUUCAUUAAUAUCUGCAGAAGGUACAUCCUCAGCAUUUAUUUCUUCAUGAACGUCAGCGGCUGUUUGAGCGUCUUUCUCAGUCGCUCGAUCUUUUGCGUAUAUGGCAGUAAGUUGGUCGUAGUAAGGGAAACUACGAUGUUUGAACUGACCGGCUUCUUUAUGACUCUAUAAAAACGCGGAAAUCAUAUUAGUUANNNNNNNNNNNNNNNNNNNNNNNNNNNNNNNNNNNNNNNNNNNNNNNNNNNNNNNNNNNNNNNNNNNNNNNNNNNNNNNNNNNNNNNNNNNNNNNNNNNNNNNNNNNNNNNNNNNNNNNNNNNNNNNNNNNNNNNNNNNNNNNNNNNNNNNNNNNNNNNNNNNNNNNNNNNNNNNNNNNNNNNNNNNNNNNNNNNNNNNNNNNNNNNNNNNNNNNNNNNNNNNNNNNNNNNNNNNNNNNNNNNNNNNNNNNNNNNNNNNNNNNNNNNNNNNNNNNNNNNNNNNNNNNNNNNNNNNNNNNNNNNNNNNNNNNNNNNNNNNNNNNNNNNNNNNNNNNNNNNNNNNNNNNNNNNNNNNNNNNNNNNNNNNNNNNNNNNNNNNNNNNNNNNNNNNNNNNNNNNNNNNNNNNNNNNNNNNNNNNNNNNNNNNNNNNNNNNNNNNNNNNNNNNNNNNNNNNNNNNNNNNNNNNNNNNNNNNNNNNNNNNNNNNNNNNNNNNNNNNNNNNNNNNNNNNNNNNNNNNNNNNNNNNNNNNNNNNNNNNNNNNNNNNNNNNNNNNNNNNNNNNNNNNNNNNNNNNNNNNNNNNNNNNNNNNNNNNNNNNNNNNNNNNNNNNNNNNNNNNNNNNNNNNNNNNNNNNNNNNNNNNNNNNNNNNNNNNNNNNNNNNNNNNNNNNNNNNNNNNNNNNNNNNNNNNNNNNNNNNNNNNNNNNNNNNNNNNNNNNNNNNNNNNNNNNNNNNNNNNNNNNNNNNNNNNNNNNNNNNNNNNNNNNNNNNNNNNNNNNNNNNNNNNNNNNNNNNNNNNNNNNNNNNNNNNNNNNNNNNNNNNNNNNNNNNNNNNNNNNNNNNNNNNNNNNNNNNNNNNNNNNNNNNNNNNNNNNNNNNNNNNNNNNNNNNNNNNNNNNNNNNNNNNNNNNNNNNNNNNNNNNNNNNNNNNNNNNNNNNNNNNNNNNNNNNNNNNNNNNNNNNNNNNNNNNNNNNNNNNNNNNNNNNNNNNNNNNNNNNNNNNNNNNNNNNNNNNNNNNNNNNNNNNNNNNNNNNNNNNNNNNNNNNNNNNNNNNNNNNNNNNNNNNNNNNNNNNNNNNNNNNNNNNNNNNNNNNNNNNNNNNNNNNNNNNNNNNNNNNNNNNNNNNNNNNNNNNNNNNNNNNNNNNNNNNNNNNNNNNNNNNNNNNNNNNNNNNNNNNNNNNNNNNNNNNNNNNNNNNNNNNNNNNNNNNNNNNNNNNNNNNNNNNNNNNNNNNNNNNNNNNNNNNNNNNNNNNNNNNNNNNNNNNNNNNNNNNNNNNNNNNNNNNNNNNNNNNNNNNNNNNNNNNNNNNNNNNNNNNNNNNNNNNNNNNNNNNNNNNNNNNNNNNNNNNNNNNNNNNNNNNNNNNNNNNNNNNNNNNNNNNNNNNNNNNNNNNNNNNNNNNNNNNNNNNNNNNNNNNNNNNNNNNNNNNNNNNNNNNNNNNNNNNNNNNNNNNNNNNNNNNNNNNNNNNNNNNNNNNNNNNNNNNNNNNNNNNNNNNNNNNNNNNNNNNNNNNNNNNNNNNNNNNNNNNNNNNNNNNNNNNNNNNNNNNNNNNNNNNNNNNNNNNNNNNNNNNNNNNNNNNNNNNNNNNNNNNNNNNNNNNNNNNNNNNNNNNNNNNNNNNNNNNNNNNNNNNNNNNNNNNNNNNNNNNNNNNNNNNNNNNNNNNNNNNNNNNNNNNNNNNNNNNNNNNNNNNNNNNNNNNNNNNNNNNNNNNNNNNNNNNNNNNNNNNNNNNNNNNNNNNNNNNNNNNNNNNNNNNNNNNNNNNNNNNNNNNNNNNNNNNNNNNNNNNNNNNNNNNNNNNNNNNNNNNNNNNNNNNNNNNNNNNNNNNNNNNNNNNNNNNNNNNNNNNNNNNNNNNNNNNNNNNNNNNNNNNNNNNNNNNNNNNNNNNNNNNNNNNNNNNNNNNNNNNNNNNNNNNNNNNNNNNNNNNNNNNNNNNNNNNNNNNNNNNNNNNNNNNNNNNNNNNNNNNNNNNNNNNNNNNNNNNNNNNNNNNNNNNNNNNNNNNNNNNNNNNNNNNNNNNNNNNNNNNNNNNNNNNNNNNNNNNNNNNNNNNNNNNNNNNNNNNNNNNNNNNNNNNNNNNNNNNNNNNNNNNNNNNNNNAAUAACAGUAAACUACAAUUAAAUAAUUUAAUUGCCAAAGAGCUUACAGUGAAUGCGUGAAAAGAAUACGGUACACUGUAGGUGGAGGAAGCAAUCAAACAAGCCGCUUUAGUAGGAAGCAAUAUCACACUAUCAAAGAAAAAUGAACAAUACAAAUUUAGAAUCUUAACGAGUACAUUGCAACAAACAGUAACUUCAACAACACAGAUGUGUAUAAAAAUAAGGUUAUUCAAUAGAAUAGGGUACCAUAAAAGAGACCAACAGGCAAUGAUUAAAUCAAAAACUUACACAUACUUAAACAACUAAUGAUGACUAACUAAUGAGUGUGAUCAGUUAAUUACUAGUUGUGGCUCUCCUUGAAAUAUACAAAGUGAUUAUAUAUAUAUAUAUAUAUGAAACUUAUGACUUGUAAGAAACAAAAAGGCAGGAAAUAGAAGAGGCAUUAUGGUCAAGUUGAAUAAAGUUGGAAUACUGCUUUAUGACAAAGGUGACAAAUAGGUAACUGUGGUAUUAGAAAAUGUAAACUAAUAAUAUAUUAAUGGUAUGGAUGGACUUAUAUAAAAGUCUAUCUAAUUAGCAAAGGUAAUCUACCGUCCUCAUCAAUGUACUUCACCAUUAACACUUUCUAAUCAGCCUAACAUGGUGCACAGUCCACAAUUAUCGUCUGCUUCCAAAUUAAUUCACUGUAAAUUCAGUGUCCAUCUUUUUAUUUAUUUAUUUAGUAUUAAUACUUAUCUCUCAAAAUAAAUAAAGCAAUUUAACAUUUGUAUUGUUUAAAGGUAAGAAACAAAUACAAUUAAAAUAAUGGUAACAAUUAAUAUAUAAUACCCAUUGGUCAAUUUAAGAAAAAAGGGAAAAAUUAUGUAAUAUUAAAAAAUUAAAAUAUUUCAACAAUUUAGAAUAAAUUAAAAAAUAAAUUACUAAUAAAAUAAUAAAAGUUUCCUAUGUUUAAAAAAAUACUAUAAAAAUUCCUAUUUUUAAAAUAAAAAUAAACAUGCUAUAAUAAUAGAAAAACAUUCCUAAAAAAUAAAAAAAAGUAAACAAAUAUUAAAAAUGCUCAAAAUUUCUGCAAAAUCAAAAAUGAGAUAUAAUUAGANNNNNNNNNNNNNNNNNNNNNNNNNNNNNNNNNNNNNNNNNNNNNNNNNNNNNNNNNNNNNNNNNNNNNNNNNNNNNNNNNNNNNNNNNNNNNNNNNNNNAAUCUAAACUCUAUACGCAGUACAUUGCAACAAAGAGUAACUUCAACAACACAGAUGUGUAUAAAAACAAGGCUAUUCAAUAGAAUAGGGUACCAUAAAAGAGACUAACAUGCAUUGAUUAAAUAAAAAACUUACACAUACUUGAACAACUAAUGAUGUAGUUUAACCAAAAUAAAUUGGGAGUAAAAAAGUACAUGGAUACAGCCAUGGGUAAUGUCAAAACUCAAAACAGCACACCAUAUUCCUUUCUUUCCCUUCUUCCUUAACUAGCGGCCCUUAUCUGUCACUUUUCAGGUUUGGUCUUUCCUGCCUACUUCUUUCUUUUUCGAUCCCUUCUUUUUCUUUUUUCUUUUUUCUUUUUUUGAGGUUUUUUUAUAUGUUUUGGGUUCUUUUCUAGAAAUAGGGUACCACAAAAGAUACUAACAGGCAAAAAAAGGUGCCAAAUUAUCUAGAAAUAGUACAAUACGCCAUGUAAAUAUUCUCCGAAUGGUUACUGCUUGCUUAAGACUAAAUAAGGUUGAUUCAGCUGGAUAAUAGAUAGCUAAUAACUAAAUAUGUAAAACAAAAUUACAUCUCUUCAAAUCAUUCCAAUUAAUAAACAACAAUACAAUUUCAAUCAUUGAAUGAGGAACAAAAUGAGCACCAUCAUUAAGCAACAAAAUCCAGAAGGUAAACAAAAUGAGGAGCAAAAUGAGCACCAUAAUUUGCAGCGUACGGAACAAAAUGAGGAGCAACAAAACAGAGAAACAUUAGAUUCCUAAUAUGCAAAUCCAGAAGGUAAAUAAAGAGCAUCAUCAUUUAAGGAUUUCCAAUUUACCUUGAUUGAAUUGGAAAGCUUUUCUUGAGGGUUUAUUGGGAGAUACUUGGGAUUGAUAUCUACUCACUGCAUUUGAAGAACACAAGUCUAUUAUGGUCGACAAAACUGUACAUAUAUAAUAUACCUAAAUGAAAUUGAAAUAGGCUGAAAAAAUGAUACAUUAUUAAAACGGCAACAUUGUUUAAGAUACAGACCCAAAUGCUCUUCAAUCCUCCGUCAACAUUAACAAGUUCAAAGAAGAAAGAUGAUUAAAGCCUAAACUAGCACAACUAGAACAUACGAUACAUUAAACAGGUGGAAAACAUCACAACUUCAUACAAGCCUUCAGCAAAUUUAAACUGAUUUGAUAUUAACUUAAAAGUUCCUUGAAAUCUUCAAGCUUCGUUUAACUUCCACUAUCCUGUUUAUAAAGGGAGCUUUCCACUUGGUUGCUUAGAAAUACAAUAAUAAUUUAAAUAAUCUAAUUUUUUUUAAUAAGCAGUUCUAAAGAAUUGCUAGAAAACAAGUAUCAAGCCUAAGAACCACAAAAUCUUGCAAAUCUGAAACGAUCCAAGCAAGAAAAAAAUAGCAAACCAGAAAGAGGAAAAAAGAAAAAGAAGCAGAUAUACCAAAACUUUCUAUACUUGCCUGAAUAAAAUAUUUUUUUUUAAAAAAGGAACUACUUCAAAAUCCAAGUGAGUAAUUGAAAGCUUCGAUUGAUCUCAAAACCGUAAAACAGCUCGAGAGUCCAAAUAAUUAAGACUAGUGCAGAAGCAGCAGAUGAAAAUGCUGGAAAAAGCCAAAUUUUCUCUUUUUAAGUUAAAACCUUCAAACAAGCCAAAUGUGUAUACUCAUUCAAAAGAGUAAAAUAAUUGUGUAAGGAUGUGUUUGGUUGCUGAGAAAGCGCAGAGAAAAAAUAAAUAAAUAAAAUACAAAAUUCAGAGGCGUAAGGAGAAGGAUGCAGCUUUUUUGCUUACCUCUACUUUUUUUUCCUGCUUAACACAAAAAUGAAAUUCCUUUUAUUUGGGUUUCAAAUAAAAGAAGAGGAGGAUUAUACAAAAUUAGCUACCAUUGUUCGCAUGCAAUGGCACCGAUGAUCCUUAUGUAACAGCUUGUAAUGAGCCUUUCUGAUUUUUCAAGAUUUGGAAAUAUUUGUCGACAGGAUUUGGAUUUCACAUUCGAGCAAAUAUAAUUAGCACAGAGAAACAGAGAAAUACCAUUCAAUUUCCAUGAAAAUCAAUCAAGAAACCAAUGCAGUUGGUAAUUUCCAUGAAAAGCAAACAUUGUUUUUUACAAGUUUCAAACAAAAAAGGAAUUCAAAACAUACCCAGAAAGGAUGGAGAUCAACGCAACUUUGUCGGAAUGUGGAGAUCAAUAACCUUGACAGAGCCCUAGUUCUUGCUCGAAAACGAUGAGGCCGGAAGAAAUCAGGAGGGAGAGGGUGGAGGUGGAGGUGGCUUUCAGGUUGGGAGGGUAAAACAGGGAAGAAGGAUUCGGUACAACCUAAAACGCAACCAAACUGACCUUUCCAUCCGGAAUGGAAACCAUCAAAUAUGACGAAUAAGGGCGUAAUGUAAUCAGCCCGUAAUAGGGCAUUACGUCCAACCAAACGUCGGAAUAGGUAGGGCCCACCGAAUCAGGCUGAAAUGGUAUUCCUAUUACAUCCAACCAAACGGGGCUGUAAGUUCCGUAAAAUAAUUUUGGAUAAAAAUUUUAAAAUUGUAUUGCCCAAAACUUUCAAAUUCAAACAAUUAAAUUUAGUGGCAAAUUGCCCCUCUUGUAACAAUUUUCUUUUUAAAUGAAAGAACUCUGAACUCCAAAUAACAAAACUAAACGCAGGAAAAUCGUUACAACUUAAAAACUGAAAAUUAAUAAUUCAUAUUUGAAUGAGGGUUGUCGAUGGAUGCUGCUUAAUUCUCGGCAACGUCAGCUCUUGCAUGCCCGAAAUUGUAACUUGCUACAGCCGUAAGCCACGCUCCCUUCUCCACCAUUUCCACUUUCCCUCUUUCUUUCUUCUUUUUUUUUUUUCUCAUUUCGUUCUUUUCCCUCUCUAUAUCGUAUCAAAAAAAAAAAAUCUUAAUCGUCAAUAAUUGUCAGCUCAGGAGCUCAAACCACUGAUUUCACAAAGGAGGUUGAUUACCAGGUAUCAUCAUUUUCUUUUAAGUUUCGCUUAUAUUUUAAAUUCUGUUAUCGAUAAGCCGUUGUUCGAAAACGUCGCUGGUUAUUUAUUUAUUUUUUUAUGUUUGAUUUUUUUUAGGUUUGUCGUACAGCGACGGUCUUGAAAUGUGAUUUUGAGCUCUCUUUUUUUCUUUCCUUUUUUCUUUUUUCGAGUUAGAGAUAGGUUUGCUUAUAUUCUUCCUUUGGAUCAACGGUCUGGAGUUUGUAGAAGAGGAAGGUAUUUGUUAUGAUUAGAUUUCUAACUAAAUUUUGGCAUUGGAUGGAAACUGAUAUUUUGUGAAUAAUUUGUACGUAAUUUUUGUGAAAAGGAUCUGCGAAUUUGCGGUGUUCUUUUUGUCACGGGUACAUAUGUGUUGGAUUUGGUUGAGAAAUUGGGUUGCAAGUUGAAGAUAGAUGUUGGUGAUUUGUGAAAGUAUUACUGUCAAAUUUGAAGUUUAGCGUUUGAGGUGUAGGGAAUCCUAGAUUUUAACCGUGAGGUUCUGAAUGCUAGCUGAUACGAUGAAUGACUUAAUUAUGCAUUAUUGAUUGGUGGAUUGAAGUGAAAAAGAGUGGUCCAAGGAGCUAACACAUUGUUGUUAUGUAAGUAAACAAACCUAGGAACUUGUUUGGAACAUGAUCAGGGAAACGUCUGGCCCAUCUGAUCAAUUAGUACAACAAGAAUAUACAUAUGCUGUUCCUAAUGUUGGAAAGAAUGUAAAUAAUAAUAAGACUAUAUCUGUACAGACAGGUGAGGAAUUCUCCAUGGAGUUUGUUCAGGAGUGUGUUGGCACAAGAGCCAUUGCUAGACCAGAUGCAGCACUGACACAUGAGAAGAGAGUUUGGUUCAAUCAGAACCGCGAGAUGGGGUAUCAGGAUCUUGCCCGAAUUCAGUUGAAAAGAAUGGAUUCGAAGUGUGCUUCUGACAUUUCUGAUUUUGCAUCUCUGAAUGGUUCUUCUAGAGGGAGUGAACAUGGGUCUUGUGUUGAAAAGAUAGGUAGAUACCAGAAGAAAGAUGGUGAAAUUGGACAAGUGACAGGGAAGGCUUAUGGUGAACUGAAUUGUGAUAGGAGCCAUCCAAAUGGUUUUGGACCACCUACUACAGCCAUUUAUGCAUGUGACUCUUCUAGUUCCAACAACUUUAGUGGGCAGGGAGCUACUGAUGGAUCUCAAUCUGGGAAAAUGAAACUUCUGUGCAGCUUUGGUGGAAAAAUAUUGCCUAGGCCAAGUGAUGGUAAACUCAGAUAUGUUGGGGGAGAGACGCACAUUAUUUCCAUUCAGGAUUGUCUUUCUUGGGAAGAGCUUCUGAGGAGAACUUCAAAUUUUUGCAACCAACCUCAUUCAAUCAAGUACCAACUUCCAGGUGAGGAUCUUGAUGCCCUUAUAUCUGUUUCUUCUGAUGAAGACCUUAAGAAUAUGAUAGAGGAAUACCAUGGGCUUGAAAAGCUUAAAGGUUCUAAAAAGCUGAGGAUAUUUUUGAUUCCCUAUGAUGAAUCUGGAAAUGCAUCUUCCCUUGAGGCAAUGACCAUGCACCAGAGCUAUCCUGAUUACCAGUAUGUGGCUGCUGUCAAUGGGACAGUAGAUCCUAGUCCUAGGAAAAUCUCUGGUGAGCUCUGCUUACCUAAUGAAGGAUGUCAAUUGGGACCCAAUUUGAAUCCUAACCCUAGUUUCCCCAAAUGGUGUCCAACUUCAGUAAUCUCUUUGGACACUAUGGGUGGUUUUAAUGCAUUGCAUCCAUCUCAGGUUUUCCUUGAUAUCCAAAAUACAACCAGAUCCCCAUCUACUCCUAUUUCUCCACUACCUUUCCAGCAUGAAGAAUGCAAUGUUUGUGCACAAUCAAUGUCUAAUAACUCCAGCUCUGAAUACAACUAUUCCUUCAAUACAGCACACUUGAAUCCUGAGAUCCGCAGCACUAUUAAUCCUAACUAUAAAGAUGCCCUACAGGUUCCACCUGCUUUGAUGAAUCAAAGUCACCCUUGCAUAAGGGUUGCUGCCAACCACACAUGCCAAGCUUAUGGAGGGCAGCUACUAAGCCCUGAUCCCAGCAAAGAUUCCGUAUUUUUUGUAGUUUUCAACAAAAGCAAUGGUGAUUACAAUGGCAUUUCACAUGAAAGGUUUAUGCACAAAGAAAGAUCAUUCCUUUCUGAAAAGCCCAUCUCAAAUGCUGGCAAUCCAUUAAGCCUGUUGUCAGGAUCUGUUGAUUCCCUGGAUUCUCACCCAGGCAUAUCACAUGCAUUUUCAGAUUCAAAGCUGCAGGACUGUGGAGGGAGGUCUGCUUACUGUUCACAAGAAGGAAUGAGCCCAUCUUCCCCUUUAAAUUUUGCAAAGAGCCCAUCACCUUCCCUUGUUUUUUCAAAUUCCAUGCAGGAAAGGUUGAUGCAACAGCAUGAUAAAAUUGAUCUUAUGACGUCCAGUGCAGAUAAUUACUUGUUGGACACUGAAUCUACAUCAAAAUCAAAACUGGAUAUGCAGAACUGCUUUCCAAACCCUGAAUCUUCUGGCGUGAAUGAACCUAUUCACAAGGGAACCAGUGACAGUAAUGAAAAAUGCCAAACAGCUAAAAUUGAUUUGAGUAAAUCCAGUUUUGUGAGGCUUGACAAUUAUGAAGAAUAUACUGCAAGCUUGGAUGCCAGGAACAUGUCUUAUAUAAGUGAUCCAUUUUUGCAUCAAGGUGGAAAACUUUAUGAGGGGAAAUCCCCUGAUAGCAGUAUGGGAUAUAACAACAAAUUGUCUAAUGCAGACUGCAACCAAACAUCUGGUUUUGCUGUAGGUACUCAGGAAAAAGAUUCGCAAGUCUCUCAGAAGAUGGUUCCUUCAUCCUUAUCUAUAAAUAGUAACAUCAAACAUCUGCAAACCUUGGGAAAAACCACAUCUGAUAUAGCUGAAUCUUGUGGUUUCAAUGGGAAAGUAAUUGGACAGGGAGAUAUUACUUCAUGUGCCAGGAACACUGAAGCCACAUGCUUGUUUCCAAAGAGCAUAAAUGACACAAGACUUGAUAGUAAAUUGGGUGAUCUUAUCUCUGAGUCUUUGAAUGGCCCUAUGUUGCAUGAACCACCACAAUCUCAGUUUAUUGCAAGUCAAAAUGAUAUAUCUAAAGAAGAUAUGCUUAUGGGCUCAACCAAGUUGCACUCACCUACAAUUCAUGUUGACUCUGUUCUGUGCUCAAGCUUGCUCAAUGAAGACCUUCAUGCUAUGUCACAAAUUCCAGACAAUAAUGCAGCUAGGAAAGAGGUUCCCCUCAUUGAUGAUGAACUUAAUUAUUCCAAUCCAAAUGCUGAGAAGGUGGUCCUCCUAGAUCCCUUGCACAAGAAUUCAAUUGUAGAAGAUAUUACGUUUUCUCUAACUGAACCUUCAAGAAAGAAUCAAUAUCAAAUCCAACCGGAGCCCAUAGUUAUGUCAAAAGAUGUUACCACUAGUGUUCCUUCUGGGAUGCUAGUUUCAUCUGCAGUUGUCCCACAUGUGGAUGUGAUCAGCACUGAUAUCAUAUCUCCUACUGGAACAGAGUUGGAGGAUGCCAUUGCAGAUUCUGAGUCUAAGGUAAGAUUUGUUAAAUUUAUCAUGUAAAUCUAGUUUUUAUAAUGUGUACCACUGCUAGUAGACUCAGGUAGCUUCAUGGCUUUGUUCAUAGGAUUCUUCAGCUGAUGUUCAAGACAAGGAUGAGUCCUUCAGUGAUGCUGUCAUAGCUGAAAAGGAAGCCAACAUCUAUGGCUUGCAGGUUCUGCAUGAAACUUAUUUAUACCUGUUUUCAGUUUAAAAAGUUGAUAUUUGACCAGUUCAUUCAGUGUUGUUUAGUGAGAAGUGUAAUAAAAUUUUGAAAAGCAAGUGUAAUUCUCUAGUUGUUAGGCGGAAAAAACAUUUUGUUUUUCUUAAUAAGGUUCCAUUUAGUUAAUCUACAUUGAAAUCUUUACUAAAAUUAAUAUCCUUUAUUUGGUAGAACAUUGAAACAAAAUUGGGGAAUUGACAAAAGAACAUUACACAUGAAAUGAAAAUUAAAAAAAAAUCAAGGGUAUGCUAAUGUUUUUCUUCUUGGAAAUAUGAUUUAAAACCAUUUCUUUUUCAAACUGGCUUUUGUGCCUAUUUAGUUCUAUUUUAAAAACUGCAUGUUACUCUUUUUUACUAUUCUCCUCUUUUAGAUUCAGAUAUGUAGCAGUUUGACAACAUUUAUUCAAAUAAUAAAAUUAUUUGUUAUCCACCCACAUACUGUGUGGAGGAUUAAUUCUAAUCAUGUGUUGCUUAUGGCAUCUUCUUUACUGCACACAUGAAAGAGAUUCUACUUAAUUUAUGCAUCCGUUUAUAAUUUGAUCAUGUUUGUGUAGUUUGCCCUCUUCCUUUUUAUCUUUUCUCCAUCUCCUUACCUUGCCAUGACUUUUCAGUUCUUGUCUAUUUUCUAACUGUCUUUGUAAUUAGCCCUAACAACUGUCUUUUGUCCCUCUGAAAACCAAGAAUAUUGCUAUUAAUCUACUUUUAAUAUGGUUACCAGACUGAUGGUUAAUUGAUAGAAAAUUUGAUUCUAUGUCAACUUCUAGUCAUAUUUCCCUUGUAACCAGUAACUUUUUGGACUAAAUUACCACACCUGUAUCAGCCCCCUCCCCAUUUUAGUUUCCUCCUUGAAAGAUUAGCUUUUGAACGUUAAUGAAGGUUUUCUAAUUUUGAUGUGCAGAUUAUUAAAAAUGCCGAUCUUGAAGAACUGAGGGAGCUAGGAUCUGGUACAUAUGGAUCUGUUUACCAUGGAAAAUGGCGGGGAACAGAUGUUGCUAUAAAGAGAAUAAAAAAGAGUUGCUUUUCUGGGAAAUCAUCAGACCAGGACAAGCUGGUAGGUCUGCGGAGAUUUUUCCCUCUUUUUCCGCCCCUUUCUUUCCAGUUUCUAAUCCUAAAUAUAGUUGCUGGCUAGGUGGUGGUAUGAAUUGUACACUGCAUUCCAGAAACAAGGAAAGAGUUUCAAAAUACUAUUAUUGUUAUGUCAUGGAAGUAAAUUCAUGGGGGUACCCUUUCUCUUCUUCCUUUUCGGCCUUCUUCUUGACUCCUUUUAAAGGGAAAUAUAUCCACUACUGUUAUUCUGCCCUUCUCUGUGAUUUGAGAUUUGGUAAUCUGUUUUUUCUGUUUAUGGAGGGUUUUCAGCCCUCGAGUUAAAAGUAAUUUGCAGCAGCUUUGACAUGCAUCAAAAUCACAUAUGUUUAUCAAGGAAGAGUGUUGAUAUUUAUCACAAACGCAUGUUUUUAUAAAGAAAAAUUAGUCUGUGGGUUGCCAUAGUUGAUUCAAAAUUUGAGUAGAGGUCUUCAAAAGAAGAAAAGAAAAAGGGUUUUCCUUUUCUUUUUUCUUUUAAUCCUUUAAGAGUGGGGUUUGGUACUUGAGUCAAUUGAAGUAAAUGUGAAAGAAAUAGCUGAGAAUUAUCCAAGAUGCUCCACUUCGGUGGUCAUUUUGAACUGGGUCAUUAUUUCCCUGCUUUGCUUCUUUUUCUUUAAUCUUGAAAUAGCAAGCAAAAGGGGGGAUUACCACUGUAGUACUAUAGAGAUCUUUAAACAGUUUUGCAGUCAAAUUCUUCAUAGCAAUUUCAGUUAUUUGCAUGCCUGAAGCUAAUAUAUAUUUGGUUGUGCCAGACAAAAGACUUCUGGAGAGAAGCACAGAUCCUCUCAAAUCUGCUUCAUCCAAAUGUGGUAGCAUUUUAUGGAGUAGUACCAGAUGGAACUGGAGGAACUUUGGCAACUGUAACUGAAUUUAUGGUCAACGGAUCGCUUAGAAAUGUCCUAAUCAAGAAGGAUGGGUAACCUAGGUUCAUCCUCUCAAAUUUUUAGUCCUUCCCUCAUUAAUGAUGUGCUUACUGGUUGUUUGGAAUUCUUAUGCAGAUCGCUUGAUUGUUGCAAAAAGCUUAUAAUUGCCAGGGAUGCAGCUUUUGGCAUGGAAUACUUGCACUCCAAAAACAUUGUCCAUUUUGAUCUGAAAUGUGAUAAUUUGCUUGUGAAUCUAAGGGACCCACAACGACCCAUAUGCAAGGUAAUAUUUACAAACUCGUCUCUAGUAGAUAUUGAGUUCAAGGUGGCUAACGUUAUUACUAAAGACCAUAAAUGGCUAGAGAGAAGAAUAAUUAAUUCUGAUUGAAGUGAAAGUGAUUGUUUUUGGUCCAAGAUGAAUGCCGAUAUGCUUGGGGACAGUAGCAUACCCUUAUCUUGUCAAGUUAGGAAGCUUGGUGAUGGGAGGUUUUCAUUGGCUGUUCACUUGAAACAUGGUUACUGUGUAUUGUUUCUGUAGGUUGGAGAUUUUGGAUUAUCAAGAAUUAAGCACAGCACUCUUGUUUCUGGAGGUGUGCGAGGAACCCUUCCAUGGAUGGCACCAGAGUUAUUAAAUGGUAACAGCAAUCGUGUUUCUGAGAAGGUCAGUGUGUGCUGCCACUGUGAAGGAAAGAACAAGCAUGUUAAAUGCCGAAAUUUAUGAUAUUUGAUUUGGCAGGUUGAUGUGUUCUCAUUUGGAAUUUCAAUGUGGGAAAUCUUGACUGAAGAGGAGCCUUAUGCUGAUAUGCAUUGUGGUGCCAUUAUUGGUAAGAUUUCAGUUUAUCUAAUUUGCCAUUAGCUACGAUUUUAAGCAGAAAUUUUACAGGCAUGGAAAAAGUAAUUGGGAUGUUAUGACAUGGUAUUAGAUCCACUAUGGAGUGCAUAUUUUAGCUAAAAUGGUGUAUUGAAUUUUUGCCAUAUGUAUCUGAAAACUAAAGAAAAAGCUUCCUUUUUUCACUUAAAUUUGGCUUUACAUUCCAUUCGUAAAAUGUGAUUGCAGGGGGGAUUGUGAAGAACACUCUUCGACCUCCAAUUCCAGAACACUGUGACCCUGAUUGGAGGGAGCUGAUGGAACAAUGCUGGUCAGCUGAUCCUGAAUCUAGACCAUCAUUCACGGAGAUAACGAACAGGCUGCGAUCAAUGUCUAGGUUGCUUCAGCUCAAGGGACGUAAUGAUCAGGCAAGACACACAAAAGCCUAAUGUUACAGCAUGAACAUGAUUAAACACCAAGCACCGGCUUGGUUUGUAUCAUCAUUAAAUGCCAAGCACCGGUUUUGUUUGUAUCUUCACCUGUAAACUUGGGUAACUCCGACCCCACCCUUCGAGGUAAGAGGAUUAAAUCAUUGAGGAUUAGGAUGAGGAUGAGGAUGAGUAGAGUUUAAUCAAUGAUGGGCAGAACUUCUUUCCCCUUCUCUCACUUUUGUAAAUAUAUAGCUCCAUUUGAUUAUUCGUUUUUUCUGACACAGUAAUUCAGGUCAUAGUGGUAAGGCAGAGAGAUAGCAUUUAAAAUAUUUUGAUGAUUGUUGAAAAUAGAAAGAUUAUAUGUAUGUACAAACAUUCAGAAAAGGGGGAAAUGGCAUUUGAUUAGAGUUCAAUUUGAUAUAUCUAGACCUCAUAAUUUUACAUGGGAAAUAAUGACAAAUAUAUAUAUUCUUUAUAUGUGUUAAAUUUACAUAUAUGAUAAUAAUAUGCAAAAGUAGUGAAAUCUAGAUCUGUCUUACAAAAUUUACCAUUUCUCCAUUCAUUAUAUUAAUGAUAAUUCUAUUUGAAAGAGCUAAAUUAAAAGAGAAGGUAGUUUCCAUUUGUUCCGACUAUCAAUUGAGGAAAAAAUGUCAUUUUCAUAUUCUUUUUAUGAUUUAAUUUUAAAUUUCAUUCGCAUAUAAAUGUCAUUAUUUAUAUAAAUGAUUAAAUCGUUGAUAAAUGAUAAAUUUUAAUAAUGUUAGUUGAUCGGAUUAAUUUAUCGGUUUAGUUAAAAUAUGAAAAUUAAAUUAAGAAAUCUAACUUUUAAAAAAAAUAGAGGAAUUCAUAAUUAAAGCUUUAUCUGCCUACGUCCUCGUAAUGCUUAUGGUGUCAAAAAAAUCUUUGCCCUGUUGACGGUCAAUUCAAAAUUCAACGGGAAGACUUCUGGAGGCUUUUUGCUUUCUAGCUUUUUAUUAUUAUAAUAAAAUCAAAUAAAAGUAAAAUCACUAAGUAAACAACACGAAUUAUGAAAAUAAAAGUAAAGUCACUACCUAAUAGUCAUUGUAACAAUUGUCAUUCACCGUAAUCAAAUUUGUUAUUAACUUUCAUCUCUUCAUAACUUAUUUAUUAAUCUUUUAUAUACGGGUUAGCUUCUUUGCUUGCUUAAUUGCUUCAAUUAUCUUCUGAUUCUUGUCACUAUGUAUUUUGAAAUUAAAAAAAUAUAUUAGAUGUAAAAAAGUGAUUUUUAAUAAAAAUUAUUUUAAAGAUAAAAUGUGAAAUCGAUACUAAUAUAAAAUUUUAACACGAAUAUUUUAUAGCAUCAUCAAUAAUUCAAUUUUAACAUAAAUUUAUAAAUAUUCAAUUUGAUUAAAUAAUUCAAUAAUAUAAAUAGUACAAAAUGUGUAAUUUAAUUUAAUAAUAUAAAUGUAGAUAUAAAUAAAAUUAUUACUAUUUAGGUUUAGGGAUUUUUUUUGGAUGAUUUUAAUUUUUUAUUUAGGGUUAAGGAUGAGAAGUAAAAGUUUAGGGGAAAAAAUAAAAAGUUUUGGAGAGUAAAUUUUGGAGGGAAAGUAAAUGGGAGAGUAAAAUUUGGGGAGGGGGGAUAUUCAAAAAAAAAAUCUAAAGAAAAAAUGGGUUUGAGGUAGACGGGGAUGGGAUGGGAUGGGAUGGGAGGAGAGUAAAAGUAUUGGGAGAAAGUACAAAAGUUUGGGAGUUUGGGGUAAACUUUAAAAUAUAAUAGUUUGGUAUUCGAUUUAUUUGAAUUAUUUAAAUCCAAAAACUCAACUCGAUUCGAAUUCGAAAUUCGAAAAAAAAAUUGAAUUAACUCGAAUAACUCAAUUCGUUUAAUGCCUCAUUAAAAAUAUUACCAAGAAAAUUCAAUGAGAAAAAACCUUAGUAAAGAAAAAUAUGAUACAACGCAUAUUUACUUCCCUCAUGACAACAUUACAUGAUAUCUCAUAUUUUACAUAUUCAAUCUUAAAUACUAGUUUUUCAAAUGAUAACUUGAAGAAUUUGCUAAACAUUUAUAUCAUCAUUCUUCUGAAUGCCAUUAGUGAGGAAGAAUUUUGGAGAAAUAUUGUAACAACCCGGUUUUGACCCUAAUCGGAAUAGUAGUUUCGGGACCACAAAUCCGAGUCCUAAAAAUAUUUUAAUAUUAUUUUCUAUAAUUUUUAUGUGUGAAUUUACUUGUGUGAAAAUUUCAUGAUUUAAUUUCGUCGUUUGAGUGUCCGAUUAAAAAAAAGAUUAAAUCGCGUAAAAUAAAAAAUUUUGUGGUCAUUUUUAAAAGGGCUGAAUAGUGGAUGUUCUUUUAAUAUGGAGGUCUUAUGUGGCAAUUAAUUCAUUUAAAUGCUAGUGGACGGCAUUAAGUGAUAGCAUAUAGUUUUUAUAUUAUUAAUAUUAAUUAUAAAGGUUAUAAUUAUGUAUAUUAUAUUAAUAUGUUAUAAUAAAAAUAUUAUAAGCCAUCAUCAUUUUAUUUUAUUUCUUCUUCAUCUUCAUGACCGAAACUAAACAAAAGAAAAAGAAAGAAGAACCUAGCUACAUUCGGCCAUUUUAAAUUUUAAUUAAGGUUAGUUCUUUGUUCGGUUUUUGAUAAUUUUUACGUUUUUGACAUCGUUGUUUUGUGUUCUUCAAAACCCAUGCUUAAAUUUUGUGAAUUGAUGAUGAUUUUGAAAUGUGCCAUUGAUGGAUGUUUGAGUUUUAUGAUGUUAGUUGAUGAAAUAUGAAAUAUAUGAGUUAGAUUAACAUGUUUUGUCUUGGGAUUUUUGAUGAAUUUGAGUAUUUAGGGCUAAAUUGUGAAAAUAAAUUUUUGAGGGACUAAAAUACGAAAUAAAUGAAAUGCAUGGACUUGUAUGAGUAUAAUGAAGUUUCGGCCUAACCAUAGUAUAGUCAAAAUUUGAAUGUUUUGUGUUUUGUGUAAUUCGGACUAAAUUGUGAAAAAUGUAAAAUGUUAGGGGCAAAUUUGUAAUUUUCCAUUUAUGUGUUUUUGGAUUAAAUUGAAGUUAAUAAUAUUUAAACUAGCUCAUUUUGAAUAUGUUUAGAUCAAGAACCAAAGAAAUCGGAGCUAGAUCGGGGAAAAACCAAAAUCGUCGACUAAUUAUCCGAUUUCAAUUUUUCACUGUCCGAGGUAAGUCUGUUAGACAAAAUUCAUGUUAUGAAAUCAAUAUAUAUAUAUAAGUAUAUUUAUUUUAUAAUUAAUGAGUUAUAAUUACAAGUAUAAAAUUUAUGUUAGUUGAUGUGUGAAUUUCAUACAUAUACAUGUGAUGUUCGAAUAGGUAUGUAUAUAAAAGUAUAAAUUUUUGGAUUCAAUUAAAAGUUCAAAUGUUAUGGUUGUGAUUAUAUAAUGUACGAAUAUAUAUAUGUGUGUAAUAUAUAUAUAUGUGGAUCGAACAAGCUUGCAUAUACAUGUAUGAUACCUUAUAUGGAUUUGGGAAUGAAAUUAUGGAUGUAUAUAUAUUAGAUUCGAAUAUGUAUGAGUAUACAAAUAUAAAUUCAUGCUUUGAUUAUGAGUACGUAAUUAUAUAUGUAUAUGAUAGACUCAAAAAUAUAUAUAUAAAUGUAUUCGGUUGAAUCAUUGAAUUUUCAAGUUUGGAAUUGGUGAAUUGAAUCAGGUUAUAAACCUAGCAGGCUAAGUGCCGGUGAUCUGAAUCAGGCUAUAAGCCUAGCAGGCUAAGUGCCGGUGAUAUGAAUCAGGUUAUAAACCUAGCAGGCUAAGUGCCGGUGAUCUGAAUCAGGCUAUAAGCCUAGCAGGCUAAGUGCCGGUGAUCCGAAUAUGAUGAAUUAAGUGAUUCUAAGCAUUUGGUAUAAAUAUAGAUAUGAUUUUAUAUGAAAUGGAUGAAUGUAUGAACAUUGUUUCAAGAUGUUGAUGAGUAUAUAAUUGUUCGAAUCUUUGUGAUUAGUUAGUAUGUAUAUAUAUAUAUAUAUAUCUCGGAUGUCAUGAAAAUUGUUGGAUAUUUAUGUGUGCAUAUGUAGGCAUUCGGCAUAGGUGGAUAUAUAUUUGUAUGCAUUCGGCAUAGGUAGAUAUAAGUGUAUAUAUGUAUGCAUUCGGCAUAGGUGGGUAUAAGUGAAUAUGUGCAUUCGGCCUUUAUAGUUUAUAAGUAUAAAAAUUAUGCUUUUGGUAUAUGUAAUUGAACAAUUAUAUAUAAAUGGAUCCGAUGAAGUACGAACAAGUACUCUAGAAAUCUGUAUAUGCAGAUAAUGAUUAUGUUAGUAAUUUGAUUUUAUGCAUAUAAUGUAUAUACCUUUGUCCGUUUAUGUAUAUUAGUUAAAUAUACAUUCUUUUAGAUUUAAACGAAAUGACUUAAUAUAGAAAUGUUUGGUUAGUAAUUAUAUUUGAUAUUUGUGAUUUCGAUAAAUUUACUUAAAUAAUUAUGUGAUUCUUUUAUAUGUAUUUUUAGAUACGCUAUAGACUUACUAAGCUAUAAAAGCUUACUUUGGUUAUCUUUGUCUAUCUAUUCUUAUAGAUUUUGGAGACGCAUUACGAGCUCGGGGAUCAUCAGCAUAAUCUAUCACACUAUCGACCGUCUUUGGUAUUUUAUAUAUUUUGAACUCGAACCUAUGACAUGUAUAGUCUAGUUAAUAUGUUUAAAUUUUUGGGAUAUGUGAAUAUGAGCCAUGCGAAAAUGGCUUAUCUCUUUUCGUUUUGAAUUUGGUAUUAACGAAUAUGUUUUAAUGGUCUAUUUCCUAUGCUUAAAUUCGGUUUAGUUAAAAAUGGCUUGAUCAUUAUGUUUAAACUUAGUUUUAUAUAUUCUAGGUUGAAUGUUCAAUGUGAUUGAUUUAAAUGAUUCGACCAUGGUAUAAGUCUAUUUGUAUAAAUGAUAAUUAGUAUGAUUGAUAACUUGAUUAUAUUUCUUGAUUGGUUACAUCAUGAAUAAAUUAUGAAUUAGUUUGUAUAAGUAAGUUUAAAACAUAGUAAAAAUGCUUGUAAGUUUUUAUUAAACAAUUCGGCUAAAGAGUAUGAAAGAACAUAAUGUAUAUUGAUCAUGAUCUAACCUUAAUUUGAAGUGGUGUUUAUGCUGUAAAUUGGUUAAGGGAUGAGUUUCGGUUGUGCUAUGAUAUUGAAUUGACGAAUAUGUAUGUUUUGUAUUAAGAAUUGGUGUGGAAAAAAAAUGGUUGUGUUUGUUUGGUAAUGCCUCGUAACCCUAAUACGGCGACGUAUACGGGUUAGGGGUGUUACAAAUAUAUUUUGAUCUAUUCAGGAGUUUGAAUAAUAAUCAUAACAAAGUUUGGUUAUGAUCUUUUUAUUCAUGUGCAUGUUGGAUCAUCUUAUAAUAUUUCUUUAACUAUUAUUCACCUAGUUGAAUUUACCACAUAUGUUUAAGUUAAUUUAUUUCAUAUAAAUAUUUACUCAAAUGUAUCGAAUAAUAUCUUGAGAAUUUUUAUACGCUUACAACAUUCUAAUCCUUCAAGGAUUUUAAUAUAAAUUUAUACUAGAUAGUGAUUCAUAUAAAGAUUGUAACAACAAUCAUUAGAUACAUAUCAAAUUUUCAUAAGCUGUCAAACUAAUGAGAUAUCUAAAUGUUAUUGCAUCUACCACAAAAGAAUAUAUUUUCAUAAUUAUUGCUAAGGCUUUAGAGAUAACUUCAUUUUCUUAUUUCAUUUUCACAAAACAACUCAUUUGUACUCCACUGACCUUAAACCUUUAGAUGCUUGGACUACUGGUCCAGAAACUUCACAAAUUUAAUUCUACUUAAAUUGUGUCUUUCUAUUUUAGCCAAUCUAUUUCAUGUCUAUGUUUUUUGACAAAUUUAUUCAAGAUCCUCUUUUUGCUUCAUUAUCUCAAUAAUACUAAUGCAUGCAAAAAUAUUGUCAACAACUUUCUAUUUUCACGGUUCCAUGUUUUCUCUUAUUGACAUAACUUAUCGAGAUUUCUUUAUUUUAAUUAUUUCUAUCGUCAAUUUCAGGUAUUUGACUCUCUUUUGGAGUUUUAAUAAUUAGUUAUGUCUUAAGGCUCUUCUGGAACACCCACCUCCACCAUCUGACAUAUAUAUUAAUUAUUUUCUUUUACGAGAAUUUUCAUCUUCGGUACCAAUCGACUUGUCAUGCUUCAGGCAUGCAUUACUUUAAUUUAUUCUAACAAGUUGUCCUACUAGGACUUCAAUUCAAAUCAAAACAUUAACUGGUAUAUAACACUUGAUUAUUCUCAUCAGGUUAGUAAAUAUAUUUGGUAGUUAACUUGUAAUAAAAUGAAUUAUCUUUUUGAACUUUUGGUUCAAAUAACUUUCUACGAUGAUCAAGAUAAUGCUAAUUUAUUUCAAGUAAUUUAUUUAUCCAACUAUUGUUUUUCUCUCCUAAUGUUGGGAAAACUAUCAAAGCAAAUAGUAAUCACAAAUCAUGUCAAAAUUGAAUCUCCAAAUCAUUUAAAACAUCUUAUAAUACGAGACUUAUAAUUAGUAUAUAUUAUCAACUUUAUUUGAAUACUCAUUUCGUGCUUUGUGGUGGAGCAACUUGAACAUUUAUUGCACAUUCAAAACUUCUAAAAUGGGUUGUAUUUGACUCCUGACCAAAAGUCAAUUGUAAUAGGUAGUGUAUAUCAUAACUUAUUGGCAUGAUACGUACAAGUGUCUAUUCAUAUAAAAUAUCAUAUCCUAUACAUAUAUACAAAAAAUUUUCUUCAAAAGAUAUGGUUUAGCUACUAAUUGGUAAGUGGUCAUAUUAUAAUUCCAACACUAAGUAAAUAUCCAAUAGGUUAAAUUUACUUAGUGAAAUCGUUGUACCUUAAUUUAUAGAGUUAUCAUUGAAAUAGAUUUUUGAGAAUUGUGAAGUCAAUUAGUAAAUAUGUCAUCAAUAAUAUAUUAUUGACUUGAAUUGUUUGAAAAGGCAAAUUGUAAUAAAUGAUGUGAUAGUUAAAUUUGAUUAUGGAGUGUAGCACCCUGUAACCCGGAUCCGGCGAUUGGGUUAGGUAUGAGGUGUUACAAGAAACGUGGUGGAACCACAUUUGGGACUUGAGAGGAGUUCCAAAAGGAAUUCAGGGCACAAUUUUACCCAGAUUAUACCGAGUAUAAGGCUCGAGCAAAGUUACACCAGUUUACGCAACGAGGCACAGUUAGGGAGUAUGUGCGGGAGUUAAGUGAAGCCAUGCUCCAAAUUUUUUAUUUGAAAGAGAAUGAGGUGUUUUUUUCCUUUUUGGAUGGGUUGAAGCCAUGGGUGAAGCAAAAGUUGCAACGCUGAUAAGUCCAAGAACUUACCAAAGCCAUGACGAUAAUAAAGUCCUUAAUUGAACUUGUUCCAAGGAAAGAUAAGUUUGAGUCUUCCAAGGCCAAUGGGAAGGGUGAUGGUGGGGAAGAUGAAGAAGGACAUGGCGAGUAUGACAAUGGUAAUAGUAAUGAUGGCAAUGGGAAACGACGAAACGAGAAGUGGAAAACCAACAACAACCUAAAUGAGAAGGGUAGAGAGAUAAAAUGUUUCUUUUGUGACGGUCCAUAAACAAGAAAGGACUGUCUGAAGAGGUAUGUGCUUUUAGUCAUCAAAGGGGAUGAUGAGCCAUAAAAAGCGCCUAUAAGUCUUGGUUCGGUCUUGCGUGGUGUCAAAGCCAAGAGGGGCAAAGAAAGCAAGACGAAGCCAGUUGAGUGCUUCUUUUGUAGUGGUCUGCAUAAAAUGCAAGACUGUCCAGAGCAAUCUAAGUUGUCCAUGAUCAGUAAAAGAGAAAAAGCGGAGCCUAAUGAGAGUAAGGCUUCAAAUCUUGAGUCAAUGAUACUCACUCUUGCGAAAAGGAAUAGUAGGCAGCUAGGGUUGAUGUUUGUGGACAUCAACAUCGUAGGUCAAAGAAAAAGUGCUCUUGUUGAUACAAGAGCAUCAGAUCUAUUCAUAUUAGAGAAAGUCGUAGACAAACUUGGUUUCUUAGUUAGAAAAUCGAAUAAGAAUAUUAAGACGAUGAAUUUCAAAGAUGUCUCAACUAUAAGAGUAGCACGAGAAAUAGAGCUUCAACUCUGCGAGUGGAAGGGUAGGGUAUUGGGAAAUGUGUCCAUAUUGUAGUAAACAUGUAAUUAUUUUCUAUUUAUUUGAAUGAUGAAUAAAUAGAUAAAGUUAAUUUUGCAUUUCACUAUUAUAUUUUUUGUAUUUUUGUUUUUCAUAUUUUGCAUGCAUAGCGAAAUUGUGAUAAGAAAAUAUUAGCUCAUUAAUUGUCUAAGUUCAAACUGAUGAUAAGUGGCAUUAUAAGAACGUUUACAUCGCGAGAAAGACUACUUCAAUAGAUAAUCUAAAUGAGUCUGUAAUCUCGUAAAAAAAUAAAAGUGAGCAUUUGAUUCAAAUACUUAGAAGAAUUAUCAUGUUGUCUACAAUUCCAAUUGAGAAGAUGAUUAGUCUUGGCUAUCGGAGUAGUUGAUUCCACGAGUAAAGACAUAGAUGUAUUCAAUGGUAGAAUGAUACAUUGGAUUGGACCCAAGAUUAAUUAAUUCUGAAUCUGUUUGUGAAUUUUCACUUGUGACAUUCAUGGUAUGAUUUACCUAAAUCCCGGGUUAGUCACUGACUAUGCGUAUUUAACUCAUGUGCUUUGAUAUAAGUGGAGGCUUAUGUUCAAAAAAUGGUCAAGCCAAUAACCGGUAUGUUGGGCACAUGACUUGUGUAUGACAUUGCUUUACUAAUAACAAUGGAAUUCAUAGCUCAAUAAAGAGUUAACGAUAUCUUCUCAUUGGCAUUGUGUGGAUUGAUAAAUAUGAAACGUGGCCACGGGUUGCUUAUUCUCGAACGAGCAAUUUAUCACAGUCAUUUGUUUACAGUGAUCAUAUUAAUCAUUAAGAAGACACAGUGGUAAUAAUGAGAUAAAAUAGUAUUGUAUUGAGUGAAUAGAUUUAACUUAAAGGAAUCAAGGAUAUCAUAUAAGGGUAACACACACAUGAUGUGGUCAUUGGACAAGGUAGUUGGAUGAAUUGCUUUCGUAAAAAGUAUGCAAUAAGGAGUUUUCAAUCAUCGUACUUCUUGUGAACUGACUCCAUGACUAAAUAAUUGCAAAUUAUCGGAACAAUGCUUUUGGACAUAAUUGCAAUUACUAGAGCCUAAUUGUAUAUGUCUGAUUGAUCCAUCCGCUAACUUAACAAAAGCUCGAUCAGACUGCAUUUGAAUCAGAAGAAAAUUCUACGACUUUGGAAAUAACUUAAUUGAGUCGAUUUAUUCGAUGUGGAAUUAAAUUGGGCAACCGUAAAAAUUGUUCAACUAUAGAAAUUGAUUAAAGAAUUUUCUUAAAAAAUUAAUUCAAAAAAUCUAAGUGAUUUUUGGAAAAAUUAAUUUUGAUCAAGUAAAAUUAAAUUAAUCAAAUUAAUUAAAAUUAAUAUGAUAUUUUUAGAAAUUAAUUUUCAAGUCAGACAAUUGGACCAAUGGCUAAUUGAACUUGAAAAUUGGACCUGAGAUAAAAAAUUAAGCUUGGGAGCCCAAAACCGAGACCAAUAUCCAAAAACUGGUCGAACCGAGCCUGGUAUAUGAAACUAAGCCAACGGUCCAACUCAAGGCUGGAUUGGACCGGUUGGGCCAUCACUGGCCCAAAUCGAACCGGCAAUAACUGUACCAGCUCGGGGUGUCGACGGCUGCGAUAGUGGUAUUCUGGUGGUCAGUAAAUGAUUGGUGGUGGUGAGUCUUCGAUGGUUGAGCAUGGAGGAAUCACACUCCUACUGGGACUCUACUGAAUAAUUUGAUUUCAAAUUAACUAUUCCAAAAAUAAUAUUAUUUUAAUAGAUUUAACACUAAAUUUAAUUUAAUACUUAUCUUAAUAGUUAUCUUAAUAAUAUUAUAUUAAUUUAAUAUUAAAGUGAUUAUCUUAAUAUUAAAUUUACUUUAAUGUUUAUCUUGUAGAUAAAUAUUCUAUUAAUUUAAUAAAAUUUAAUAUUAAUUUAAUAUAAUACUUAUCUUGAUAAGUAUUAUAUUAAUUUAAUAUUAAAGUGGUUAAGUUUAAUUAUAAUUUAACUCUCUAAACUCUCAUUAUAUAAAGAGAGUCUUGGGUCAUUAUUUCACACACACUUGAAUUCAAGAGAAAGUUGUAGAGAUAAAAUUCUCUAAAGAAAUUAUUUCAGAAAAUUUCUAGAAAUAUUUUUUAUUUACAACUUGGCCCAAAAGUUUAGAGAAAUUGUGAAAUUAUCCCACCAGUAUUUUUUUGUGAAAAUUUUCUGAUUUGAAGCGAACUCACACUCGACAAACGUGAGCUUGAGGAUAACGGAGAUGACUACUUAGUCGAAGCGUUCAUCCUAGACGAAUCGAAAAUGUACAAUUUUAAUCAAGUGUUUAUUAUUUUAGAUAUCACAAGUUUUAGAAAAAAAUUUAAAACUCUGAUUUUUCCCCACAUUUAUUUUUCGCUGUAUUUUUCAAUCCCGAUUUUUCAACACAAGGAAGAUUUUGAGGUAAUCUAUUUAGAUGACUAUUAUUUUGUUCUUGGGUUGAACUUCUUGAUGGGAUUAAGACAGGCCUUUUUCCUUUUCUGAUUUUAUUCAUAUCUUUGAUGAUCCACAAUCACGAUGUGUUGAGCCAGUAAAUCAAGACAUGAAAGUUGGAACCAAGGUAUUGUCGACAAUCCAACUAGCCGAGGAUAUUUUGUAUGAAAGGAACAUUGACUCGGUAGAUCAAAUUGCUAAGGAAGCCCUUUUGGAAAUGCUAGUGGGGCAUAAAACCGAUAUGAAGCCUAUUGAGCUAUCAGUGCAGCUACCACCUAUGAGAGAGGUGGGUUAUGCAUCAGACUUUGGGGGUAAAAUGGUGAUGCAAAUUGGGCAGUUGAGACGAGUAAAUAUUGCGAGUGAGGUACAACUCAAACACUUUGGUAAUGUUUUUCAUUCUGACUUAUUUUUUGGUAAAGACACGGAGGCCAUUUCAAAGUUUUGGCAGGAAAACUCAAGGUUAACUCAGUGUUCAAUGUGAGCAUGCCAAAGCUUAGUUGUGCGGAUCAAGUGGAUUCCGAUCGAGGCAAGGCACAAUACACAAAAGUAAGAGUGAUGGGCUCUUACAAACGUGAUGUACUAACAAGUGAAACGGUUUGAGUUAGGUAACAAUGGAAGCUGAUGCAAUGGUUCCAAGGGGCGGGACUACCCGACAAUGAGACUAGUCAAGAAAGGGCCAAGGUGUCGAGAAAGUUUCGAGGCAAAUCAAACCAAUUCCAUUCCAAGGGUGCAAUGAAGGCUUUGUGAGAGGGGAGAAUGUCACAGGCCAUGGCUCAAAGCCUGUGACCAAAGCACAAAGAGCAUUCCAUGAAGGUCGACAUAUUAAAUGGGGCUUAUUUGACCCACUUGAACUAGUUCGAUUCGAAGAACAAGUUACGAAGCCCAUCUACUUGAAGUCUUAGUGGCCCAGCGAAGUACUUAAGGAAAAUUAGGGUUACCGUAGUAAAUAUGGAAAGUAAUCUUAAAAGAUUUGUAAUAUUAUAAGAUUUGAUUUUGUAAUCUUAGGGAUUAUGCCAAUCCUUUAAUUAUAGAUAAACUUCGAUCUCGUUCGUCGAUGUAACUCAAUUUAUACCGUCGAUUUUGGGGGAGCUCAACUAUAUAGAGAGUCUACCCCUCAUUUGUAAUCCUCCAUUGUAUCUUAUUCUUUGAGUUGAAGAAUAUAUUGAGAGCAUUUACUCAAACAUCUGGUGUGUUUUGCUUUUCUGUGGCCAUUUUGUUCUUUUAAGCUUUCUUUUGUCUUUGAAUUGCUUCCAUUUUAUAAUUCGGUGCCUUAGAGAAUUUUUAUGAGAAUUCUCACUUUGUAAGAGUUAAGUUGACUUAAGUGUAUUUGAAGUAAAAAAACUACUUAAGGUCGUACGGAUUGCAAGACGAAAAGUUUAACCCCGUAACACUAGAUUUUUAUUGAAGGAUAAAAAAAUUAUACAUUAUAUUUUAGGAUUUAUUAAUUAUUAUAUAAUAUAUAUAUAUAUAAUAUAUGGGGAAGUGUGAGAUGAAGUCACGCAUAAAAAGAGAAAAAAAAACUUCUGUCUUGAUUUUUGGUUUUGAGCCGCAUAGGACAGACUUUGAAUUUGGUUUUUGGCACCCCCACAAGGAUUUGAGUUUUUGGGAUAAUUUUCUUAAAUUUUUCGUCUUUGAGCAAUUUUCUUCCAAUUAUUUCUUGUUUGUUCUUCAAAUUAUGAGUAGCUAAAUAUUUAUUUUAGUUUUAGGUGGAUAAUUUAUUCGGUAUUAAAAUCAUAAGACUUCAAAAUCAUACAUAUAUUUUCAACUUCAAUAUUCAUUAAUUUUCUAUUAGUUGUCUCAUAACAUCGUUUUAAUAUCAAAAUUGAGAAAAGUCCCUUGAUUUGGUGUUGGAUGGCAUAUGAUUGGUGAACCAGUACAAUCAAUAAUUGUCAUGUUUAGUCCAUUGAAAAUUAAAUUGACGCGACCAAUUCAGUGAUUGGUUGGAUCCGUCUAGGGAGUUAACGCUCAAGUUUAAAUAACUCAUGAAGUUGAGACCAUUGAUUUGAGUUGGGUCCUUUUAGUUCACAAAAUUGCAUAGAAAUUAAAUUGUGGUAGUUAAUUUCAAGGUUAUUUACUUGGUAAUGAUUAGCUGUUGAGUUGUUCCUGUAAUUAAUUUACAUACAGAACGGAUCAUGGUUUGAGGCUGUUUCUCGAUCACUAUAACCGACUUAUCGGUUGGAGGAGAAAAUCCAUUGUCCGAAAUUUGUUCGAAGUAAGAGUCAAAAUCGUGCCUGAAGUUGGAGCUUUCAUUAUAUCGAUUUACACAACUUUAAUUUUGUUUGUUUAUUUUUAUUGCGCUCAAUUUAUUUCUAGUAUUUAUUUUUAUUUGAAUUUUAGUUAUUUAUUUUAUAUUUAGAUUUAAUCUCCCCUUCUUUAUUUUCAUAGGUUCACAUAAAUUUUUGGUAGUAGGAAAUAAUAAAAUUGAUCAGUCUAGUCUUUGUGGUAUCGACCCUACUUACUAUACUACAAAUUUAAUUUAAUUUCAGUUUAAGUGUAAGAAUUUAUUUUUGGUAGGUUUGACAACCAUUAGAAAACAUCUUAUGUUAAAAGUUAAUUUUUUAUAAAAUUUACUCAAGAAUUAUUAUUGGUGUAGUGGUAAAUAAUUUGUUUAAAAAUCCAUCAAACAUGAGUUUAAUCUUUAGACAUAUUUGUAGAGGCCAAAAUUUGCCUGGCCUAGACCCAACAUAAACAAAACAACGAAAACAAAAGUAAUAACACACAGUCCAUUUACAGAAGCCCCAAAGCCCACAACCUAAAUGUUUUUUUUUUCAAAAAACCCUAGUUUCCCCCUAAGCCUCAAGCCGCUGCUCCUUGCCACGUCAGCGGGCACUUCUCCUGAAGACAUCAACGCCCUGAGGUCUGCCCCCUGCCAUCAUUUCACCGAAAUGGCUAAGGAGCACACAUUUCCUCGUCGUUGACCACCACCAUGGCACCUGCAAAAGAAGAAACAGAGAGUAGAAACAAAGAAAAAGAAAAAGAAAAGAAAAGAAUAUUGUAUUUGGUUCGGCUAUAAAGGCUAAAUCUUCUGUAAUUUUUAAUAGGAAGAAAUUGAAUACAAAAAAAGCAACAAGUUUUAAAAGAAAAGGUAGUUUAUUUUUUAUAUUUCACGAAAAAUGUAAAUAAAAGAAAAAGAAAGUUAUUUCUUACCUGAGCGUCGGUUCGUCUCCCCAUUGCAGACGGACGUGGCCCCUGUCUCCGAUGAUAGACAGGCCCUCUCUGAUUUCAUAGGAGAGGGUAGGGUUCGUCCUGCUUCUCAAAAACACACAAAGAAGCCGAAAAGUUUCAUCUCGUAUUUUCUAAUUUUGGUUGGGUUUUGGGGUAUUUUAACCCUGGAUUUGAUUCCAAGGCUUCGAGGGGAUUCCAAAAAAAGUUUUUCUUUUGAAUUUUUGGCCACUGGAGGCGAUGGUCGCCAUCGCCGAUGACCGGUGGCCAUGGCGAAGUUGUGACGGUACAAAGGUCGAAAGAAGAAGAGGAUUUCAAAGAAAGAAAUAGAGAAAGAAUUUUUUUUAAAUGAAACCAAGUGAUUUUUUUUUAGGAUUUUUUAAUUUAUAUAGGCCCCUAAAACGAUGUCAUUUUGGGAUUGGCUUCAGAUGUCCAAAGCGACGUCGUUUUGGCACAAACCGAAGAUCCGACCCAAAUAGCCCCAAGAUCCACGUGUUUUUUAAAGGGUUGGGAAAAUUGCUUCCUAAAUCUUUUCUUUUUUUCCCUUUUUUAAUUUCAUCCUAUACUCCUUUUUAUUUUAUUUUUACCCUUUUAUUUUAUUUUCUUACGUUUUGGUCCCCUGACCUACUAUUGACCUACCAAGGGAAUGACACGUAUGCUGGGUUGGGGAAAAUAACACCCUGGGUCCCUUUACUUUUUAUUUUAUUUUGAUUUAAUUCUUUGUUUUUUUUUGUUCUUUUAGUUUAUGCUUGGAAUUUCGUUUAGCUUUCAAUUUAGUCCUUUGCCUAUUUUUUAUUUUUUAUUUUUUAUUUUUUUUGUUAUUUUAUUAUUUUAUUUUAUUAUUUCCAACACUUUUAUUUUAUGAUUAUUUAUAUUUUUACCCCUCUCUAAAUUAUGUAAUUUUAUUUACAUCGUUGAGUAGUUAUUUUUUGUUUUAUUUUUAUUUUUGUCAUUAGAUAUGAUUAUUACUAUUAUUAUUAUCAAGUUAUAGUCAUUUACUGUUUUACCCUCAUUACCUUUACUACAAUUAAUUUAUUCUUUUAUUAUUAUUUCAUUAUAGUGUUAUUUCGUUUGUACCUAUGUAGCUAUUUUAUUUUUUACCAUUAUUUUAUUUUAUAUUUUGCUUACAUACACUCGUUCAUUUGGUACCAAACUCAAACAAAUUAAUUGCACAUCACAUUAAAUGUUAUAUUCGCUUUUACCCGACGCAUAGGAAAUAAUUAGAACCGAGACGAUGUUCUUUAAUUAGGGGAUUCAAGAAAUCGUGCCCUAACUUAUGGGGUACGACUUUCUCCUUAAACCGAAAUAAUCGAACAUCCUUUUAAAAUUCAGUACACAUAGGACUUAGGUAAUAAUUAAAUGGCGAUUAUUCUUGUUUUUGAGGAUUCGAGACCUCGUGCCCUAACUUACGGGGAAUGAUCUUUUCUUCUUGAUUAACUCGAAAUAAGAAGGCAUUUUCCAUAAAAUUUAAUUUAGUUAGCGAUAUUUUAACCAAAUAACAUCAUUCAAAAAAAUUGAUCGUACUUUAAAUUUUCUUUGAAUUCUCAAUUCUUGACACUAAGACAUCAAGUAAUCAACUAGAAACCAAUUUUGGGCAUUAUGAGGGUACUAAUCCUUCCUCAUGCAUAACCGACUCCCGAACCCAUUUCCUGGAUUUUGUAGACCAAAAAUAAUCGUUUUAGUAAAUCUAACCUUUUAUUAAAAUGAUCAAAUUAUAAGGUGAUCCGAUCACACCUAAUAAAAAGGAUUGGUGGCGACUCCAUUUUCAUUUUCUAAAAUAAAAAGUCGAUUUCCAAAAAGGUUUCGACAAUGUUAAUUUUAGUUCUUUUAUUUAAAAACUAUAUAAAGGUAUGAAAAGGCAAAAAGGUCAUCAAAAUAAUAUAGUAGUCAUUUAAUAAAAUGAUAUAUUAGUCAUUUCCUGACCAAGUUAGUAUCCGAUUAACUUGUGACACCAACUCAGUCAAGUAUUUUAUUAAUAGUAUAGAUAAAUCAAACAUGAAAUAUAAUAAAUAGAUUGUAAAAACAAAAUUAUUAAAAUACAUAAAACCAUUUUAAUUUUACACUAAUAUAAUUGAAUAUGUUUCCUUUAUCUAUACUAGUUAUUGUUGGAAAAUUACUACUGUAAAAAAAAACACAUUAGCACUAAUAAGUACAAAUAAUAAGGAAAAUAAAUAAAUAAAUAUUGCGUCGUGGAGAACCACUGCCUUAGAAGCGGUUUCGUCUUGAUCGAUGUAAUUGGAAAUGGAUGUUGCCCCUGCAUGUUAACACAAUGCUUCCAAAAUUUGUACAGCCGAAUGAGGAAGAUGGAACUCAAUUGGUAUUACUCUUUUUAAGUUUACGGGAAAUAAGAUCAAAAUAAGUUUAAAGACGGUCGAAAAAUUUGACCGAAAAAAUCACACUAGGAUCAAUUUCCAAGAAAAUUUAGAGGGGUCACAAACGGUAAUUUUUAGUAGAAUAACAAAAGCUUUCAGAGAAAAAAAAAUGAGGGAAAUGAGAAGAAUGAUAGAAGCUAGCCUCCUAUUUAUACUAUUAGGUGAAGGGCAAAAUAGUAAAAACACAAGACAAAAGAUAAAACUGGCAAAUCUAAUUUUAAAAAAAUAGUUCAAAAGAGAUAUUUUUUGUUUACUAGAUUUUCUUUAUUUUUUGAAAAAUAAUACAAAUUUUAUCCAAAAAUAAAUGUGUGGUACGUGUGCGGACACUGACACAUGUGUUAGGCAUUUAGUCAAUUACUAAAUGAAGGUAAGAAGUAAGGCUAUAUUUAAACCUUUCAUUAGCUUAUACACAGAAUAUGUUCUUCUUCUUCUUCUUUUAGAAUUCCUAUACCAUCUUAAAUCUUAGAGAUUAAAUAGAUUAUUUUAAUUUUAAACAUAAUUUGAUUUCUCUUCUUUUUUUUUUUUUUGAGUGGUUGGUUUCUUUAUUUCUAAAUAGUUAAUAGUUAACAAUUUCAAUCAAAAUGCUAAUAUCAACUUCCUUAAAUAAAAGAUAAUUAUUUUAUCAUGACAAAUUUAAAUGAGUGUUAUUAAGAAGAAAAAAAAUCUUAAUUAAUAUUUUUAUUAUUAAAUGAUUAUCAAGUGAAUAUUUUUUGUCAUUCACGCUAGAGAAUUUAAUAAAAGAAAUUUAAUGGUGGUAAUAAUUGUAUAAAAAUGAAAGAAGUAAAUGUCUAAAAGUAAAAAUAUGUUGAAAAUUUUAAUUUAUAAAUAAUCAAAGAAAUAGAAAGUGUGGGUGAAAAUCAUAUAUAAAAUAUAAAUAUUAUACUACAACUGAAAAACGUUAAAUUUGCGAAAAGAAAACCUGAAGAACGCUUAAUAGUACAACUGAAAAACGCGGGAGUAAUUUUCGUGGAAACCUACAAGUAAUGAGAAAAACAUGUCAAGAAAAAAUUUUGCUUUUUAAAUAAGAUACAGUUCAUUCCACUAAGGUUCUACUCAUUGGUUGUUGGGGAUGUAUGUAUCUUUUCCCACUAUCAAAUACUUGCCAAGCUCGAAAGCUGACCUCUAAAAAGCUUGACCAAACUUCCCCAAGUCCCUGAAAAAAUUAACUAUAAAACCCAGUUAGGGAAGAGAGGAAACAAUUGGGAGAUCAUAAAGGACUGAGUGGGAGGUUAAUAGAUCAGUAGAUAUGGAGAAAGCACUCAACAGGCAGAGAGUUUUGCUUCAUCAUUUACGACCCUCUUCUUCUUCUUCUUCUUCUCAUGAAUCUGCUGCUACUCUCUUUGUAAGCUUAAUCCUUUGCAUUAGAUUUUUUCUUCUUGUUUUUGUUUCUCCUUUCAUUUUAGAGAAUGGGUUUGAUUUCAUUUCAUCAGCCUUCAAAUUGUGCGGCUGGGGAUAGCGCUGCUUAUCACCGGACGGCUGCCUUCGGGGACGAUGUUGUGAUUGUGGCGUAAGUUGUUUUACAGUAUCCUUUUCUUCCCUACUCUAAAUCUUUAUUUUAUAAAUAUUUUUUACUUACACAGGGCGUGCCGCACUGCAAUUUGUAAGGCCAAACGUGGAGGCUUCAAGGAUACACUUGCAGAUGAUUUACUUGCCCCUGUUUUGAAGGUUAGAUGUUGCUUUUGGUUUUUGCGUUGAGCUGUCGUUACCUUGUUCCCUCCUAUCUUUAACUUAACUCUCCAUGGCAUGCAGGCUUUGAUAGAUAGAACAAAGUUGGACCCAAGUGAAGUUUCUGAUAUAGUUGUGGGUACGGUUUUGGCACCCGGCUCACAAAGAGGAAUCGAGUGUAGGAUGGCUGCAUUCUAUGCUGGUUUCCCUGGUAUGCCUCUUCUUUGAUUUCAUUUGUUAAUUGCUACUGGCAUGCUAGAUAUGGAGUCACCAAGGUGGUUACUUUACUAUGUUGAUAAUAGAGAUGUCAAAUGAAAGGCAUGCAUUGACUUCUAAAUUGUUGGUUUAAUUUACAUUUUACAGUCCCUUUUCAUAUACAUAUUGCUAAAAUAAUAACACUUGUCAACCAGAUACGGUGCCUAUUAGAACUGUCAACAGGCAAUGUUCAUCUGGCCUACAAGCAGUCGCUGAUGUUGCUGCUUCCAUAAAAGCAGGAUUUUAUGAUAUUGGUAAAGAUACUAUGCCUUAUCUAUGUAUAUGAAUGCUGAGACGGAUUUAUUUGAAUAUGAAUGGCAUUCACCUAGUUGGCUUUGAAUGAAGGCAUUGGUGCUGGAUUGGAGAGCAUGACAACUGACAAAGUUGUUCCUGGGGUUCCCAAAGUUAACCCAAAGGUAUUAUGAACAAAUAGUUUGUACUCACUAUCUAGGAUAUCUUUUACAUGGUAACAUGCAACUUGUUUUCACAGGUAGAGAGCUUUGCCCAAGCCCGGGAUUGCCUUCUUCCUAUGGGCAUUACUUCUGAAAAUGUUGCAGAACACUAUGGUGUGACACGGCAAGAGCAAGACCAGGCUGCUGUGAGUUCUGUGCAUUUACUUUUAUAUACUGAUAUAAGCUUAAUUAUUAUCAGUCUGAAACGCCUGCAAUUUGUUAACGUAGGUUGAAUCUCAUCGACGUGCUGCUGCUGCAACAGCCUCUGGUAAAUUCAAAGAUGAAAUUGUCCCUGUACUUACCAAGGUAAGUUUUGUGUAGUAAAUUAUUCUGGUUUAGGAUUGUUUUAUGAUGCUUGGUUAACUUGUUUUAAUCUGUAAAGAUUGUGGAUCCCAAAACUGGGGAAGAGAAGGCAGCCACAAUUAUGGUAGAUGAUGGAAUCCGCCCAAACACAAACAUGGCAGAUUUAGCAAAGUUGAAGCCUGCAUUUAAAAAGGAUGGAACCACCACUGCUGGUAUAUAUAAUCACAAAACUUGUGAAAUUCUGAGAACAACAAUAUGCAGUUGUAUGAAACUUGUGUUACAGCUUGCAACAUUUUUUUUUCUUAGGAAAUGCAAGCCAAGUAAGUGAUGGUGCAGGUGCAGCCCUCCUUAUGAAGAGAAGUUUGGCUAUGCAAAAAGGAUUUCCAAUCCUCGGCGUUUUCAGGUAAUGAGAAUUUAUGGACUGAUUACCGUAGGAGAAUUUUAGGUAGGAGUGGAUAUAUAAAUUCACAUUUGUAAGCUGAUCACACUGCUUGUUUUUGCUCCUUUUUUUAUAGGAGUUUUGCUGCUGUUGGUGUGGAUCCUGCUGUGAUGGGCAUUGGCCCUGCUGUUGCUAUACCGGCUGCUAUAAAGUCUGCUGGUCUUGAGCUUGAUGAUAUAGACUUGUUUGAAAUAAAUGAGGUGAUGGGUUUCUUUAGUUGAUUUUUAUUUUGAGGGUGAAUCAAAUUUAAGCCCUCCUUUCUUUUUCUAAUUAUGCAAUAUGUAUUUUGCCUCAGGCAUUUGCAUCCCAGUUUGUAUACUCUUGCAAGAAAUUGGGGCUUGAUCGUGAAAAGGUCAAUGUUAAUGGAGGUGCAAUAGCCCUUGGGCAUCCUUUGGGUGCUACAGGUACUUAAAAAAACAAUUGCCCUGGUUAUCCAACCUGGUUGCUGCAUGGAAGUGCACACAAGCCAAUACACAGAUAAACAGUAUUACUGUAUAAACAUGUAUUAAGUUUUGCUAUACACUAUUCUAUGUAUCAGGAGCUCGAUGUGUGGGAACUCUAUUGAAUGAGAUGAAACGUCGUGGGAAGGACUGUCGCUUUGGAGUGAUCUCAAUGUGCAUAGGUAUCCUUAUCCUUCUCUCCCCCUCUAACCGAGGAUUGAACUGAAAUGUUAAGCCUGGUUCAUUUCCUUUCUUUAUCCGAAUCUCUUGUCAUGCAGGCAGUGGAAUGGGGGCCGCUGCUGUUUUCGAAAGGGGGGACUGCGUUGAUGACUUCUGCAAUGCUCGAGCUGUCCAAAAAAACGACCUUCUCUCCAAGGAUGCUCGAUAGAGAUGUUUGUUGGUAUCUUAAAUGUUUGCUUUAUGUAUUCAAUAAAACUUUGGCAUAUUCCCAAGCAAAAGUUAGAUAAUCAUGUCGAUUUCAAGAUCCUUGGAAUGGCUUUAUUCUUCUAUACUAAAUGUUCAUGUUUGCUUAUUAGCCAUAGAUUAUUCCUAAGAACGCAGAAGCUAGUGGAUUACCAAAGCAUUCAACUUGAUCAUAUAGUUAAAAUUGAAUUAGAGAUACAGACGUCGAAUCACAGUUAUGAUUCGCCUAAUCAAAUCAUUAACCAUUACAGUAAUUGUGUGACCAAUUCUGUCCUAUAAUGAAACCUGGGGAAUCUUACAGUGAUUAAGGUCUAAAUGAUAAGAGGUUUCCUUCUAUGCCAGAGUUCUCUCUGAAGCUGAGAAUUUGAUAACAUUGAAAGGGAAGAACCUAAAAACCAAAAGAGCUGACAGCCUCAUUGUGGAUCAGGUGAGCCUCCUGGGACCAGCUGCAAUGUACAAAAAAGAAUUAUUAUGAGAAAUUUAGAUAGUGGAAUUCAUUGCAAUUCUUCAUGUUGGGCCGCAUUUGGUUUCUAUAGUUCAAACUGAUACAUUUGCCCCUAGUUGGCGAUCUACAGUUCUACACUUCAUGUGCUUAACCAUAUAAUGCAAUCCUCAAUAAAUAUGCCAAACCUAAGUACAGUGUGAUCUUAAGAAGUGUAUUAACUAGGUCACAAAUCAUUUAAACUUACAAUGGCAAUGUUAUUUCCAUUAAGCAAAAUUUGAUCAAGCUUCGUGAUCCGUCUUCCCUCAGUAGUGAUCUCGCUGUGAUGCAACAGAAACGAAAAAGCAAUCAAGACCAACACCAGUGAUAAACAUUCUCCAAUUACUUACGUAUACAAGCAUCGGGAAAAUCUGUUGCCAGGCCAAUACAAGUCAAUCAAAAGAGCACAUCUUCUCAUUAUUUUCAAGCACAUGAGUAAGAAAAUCAAACACCUUAUCACUCUCGAAUGAAAAAAGAAACAUCACAUAGUAAAAUAAAUGUGAAAAAAAAGUACAACCAAGCAAUGAAUAUCAAAUUGGAAGCAAUGUAGUUAGCUAAGUGAGCAGACAUCGAGCCCAAAAACAUUGGCUACAUAGAUUGCUGGUUCUUGAUAUGUUCCGAGGAUGCCAAUGAUACAAAUUUAUCAGAGAUCAAAAUGGUUUGCUGAAAAACCAAACUCUGACAGAAGGCACCAAUGUUGUGAAGAAAACUACUUCUAAAUCACACCCUAUCAGAACAAACUUUUAAGCCAUCUCACUUUCUCCGGUUACCACCUUGCUACUGAGAAAGAAUUCAAACAUUGAACCAAAAGAUGAAAAGCAAAUCUUAAAUUCAUCGGAAUAUUCAGGGCAAACAAAAGUCAUGGGACAAAGAGGGAUACCAUAAAUUUGAAAUUUGUUUAAAUACAUGAAACAAUGGCUAAUACCCAGAAACCAAAACUCCAACUUGAUCUCUUGCCCGUCACUUCCCUAACACGAUUGUACAUAAAACCCUAACACACACAAGGGAAAUCAAAGCCUAGAUAUGAUGUCUAAUCUAUAUCUAAACAUUCAAAGAGAGAAAGGGGAGAGAUUUACUAUUCGGUGACAUCUUCAAGGACCAUGUUAACGUAGACAUCGAAGCCUCUGAGAGUACCCACGAGCUCUUUGUCACCUUUCAUUAUCACCCAAAUUUUGGACCCUAUGCACCUGUCUAUCAACUCUGUAAACACAAAGCAAGCAAACCCAAAUCAGAAUUUAAUCCAACUUUCUCGAGAAAUUUAAGGGAAAGUGAAAGAAAAACUGUCACCUGAAGGAAGAAGCUGUGAGGGAUUGUUUGCCAUUGCUUUGAGAGAGUUGUUCACUCAGAAGUAAAGCUCCCAAUUGUUUGAUUCAAGUUUUCUGUAAUCGUAAUGAAACGAGUUACUAAUACUAUCCGUAUGUCAAACAGGCCCUGUCGACCCAAUGGACGUCAAAUUUUGCCCGACCCAGCACCUCCGGGCCAGCCAAGCACGGCCCUUUAUCAACCGCUAAGCACUGACGAAAAAUAUUUGUUACUUUUUAUGUCUAUUUUUACGAAAAAUAGUUUGAUGAUCGGAAUUUUUAAAAUUGUCUCCGGAAAACAUUCAAUCAAAAGUCAACUCAUCCUGUCAAAGCUUUAUUCAACUCUUUUGAGACCUCCUAAAUCGACAGCUCCUUGAUUUUUGGCCAAGGUUGCUUUAACUAACUUAAUUCUCUUGAUAAUAUUAUUAUGAGAUAUUAUCUUUUAGUAAUUUGUUUCUUAAUCAAUAUUAUAUAAUAUUAUUAUAGAAUAUUAUUUUUUAUUAAUUUAAUUUUUAUGUAACUAUUAUUGUAUAGAUAUAUAUAUACUCUUGAGAUCUAUUAAUAAAAUUUAAUAGAUUACCCUAUUUUUGUCAUGGCAUAUGAGUAAGGUUUUUUACACAAUUUUUUCUUUCAUUAUUCUAAAUGGCUAGCGGCGAGUCUUCUCCUCCUCCACCACCACCAAGGGAGGCGACCCUCCCUGGUUUUACCAUUGACCAAUGGCAGUCUCUUCUAGCGGUGUUCGAUAAUAAACAAUCAACCUCCACUCAGUUGAAUGGUAAGUCCAAGAAUAAUUGGAUUAUUGAUAUGGAAUGUUCAAAUCACGUUGCGAGUGAUCUUAUGUGUUUGACGAAUGUGAGAGAUGUUGUAGCAUGUUCCGUAGAACUCUCUGAUUGCCAAAUAGUGGUGGCUACCCAAAAAGGAAUGGUUAAAUUGACAGGCAAAAUUUAUUUAAAAUAAGUUCUUUACGUUCCUAAACUAAACUACAAUUUAAGUAUUUUUGGGAACGAUUCCGCUGCUUUGAAAACUUUUAAGGGGUAUCUUAGUUCUUGCUUCCAUAUGAAUGAUCUUGGUGUUUUGAAAUAUUUUUUGGGAUAGAGGUAGCUCGUAGCUUAUAGCUCUUUGGGGUUGUUUCUUUAUCAAAUGAAAUAUGUACUUGAUAUUAUUUCGGAGGUGGGUCUUUUAGGAGCAAAGCCCAUAUGAUCGCCAAUAGAGCAAAAUCAUAAAUUAGAGCAUGCUACAGGGACAAUUUUGUCUGAUCCUGAGUCGUACAGAUGGUUAAUGGGUCAUUUGAUUUAUUUGGCAGUGACCAGACCUGAUUUGACAUACUCGAUUCAUGUCUUAUCCCAGUUUAUACAUGAGCCGAGGCAGGAGCAUUGGGAUGCGACUCUACGUGUUGUCUGGUACUUGAAAGGCUCUAUUGGCCAAUGGAUUCUUUUGAGAUCUGAUAGUGAUUUAUCCUUGAAAGGAUGGUGUGAUUUGAAUUGGGCUACUUGUUUAUUAACUCGACAUUUGCUAUUGGUUGGCUUGUCUUUCUAGGACAAUCUCCUAUUUCCUAGAAAACUAAGAAACAACAUAUUGUUUCUCGUUCUUCUGCUGAGGUUGAGUAUAGGUCUAUGGCUUCUGUCACUGGUAAGCUCAAGUGGCUGAAGGCCUUGCUAUUGAGCUUAGGUGUUCAUCAUCUUAAAGCAAUUCUUUUAUUUUGUGAUAGUCAAUUUGUGCUACAUAUUGCACAGAAUCUCAUAUUUCACGAGCGUACUAAACAUAUUGAAGUGGAUUGUCACUUUGCUAGAGAUGCAAUAUAGGAUGGGUUGAUUGCACCUUCUUAUGUUUCAACCUCUGUUAAGUUAGCUAACAUUUUGUAACAACACAUUUUUAGUGGUGUCGGAAACAGUGGUUUCAGGACCACGAUUCCAAAAAGCGAGUCGGUGUUUUAUUAUUUAUUAGAGUCAUACUAAAAUUCAAAUAAGAAAUUUUAACGUUUAGAUAGUUAAUUAAUUAAAAAGGACUAAAUCGUAAAGGAAGUAAAAGUUGGUCUCCACUAACUAAAUGUAUUAAACAACUAGAUAAUGUAAAUCAAAUGGACUUAAUGGGUAAAUAAACCAUGAAAUUAGAUAGUAGACAAUUAUGGACAAGGUUUGGUUGAAAUUUAAAGUUAAUGUUGUAAGGGUAAAAUAGUAAAAUGUGAAAUUAAAUAACAUUAACAAAAUUAAGUGAUCAUCUUCUCCAUUUGUGCGUUCUUUGACCGAACACCAUAGCCAAAAGGUUAGCAAACUUUCGGCCAAGCUAAUUCCUUGCAUGGUAAGUGAUUUUUAUUUUGUUUCUAAUUAUUUUUGUGUUUUUGUGAUUGUAUUAGCUUAAAUUAGCUAACCCAGGGGUCAAUUCAUAAAAUUGUUAAAAUUAUAGGGAUCUACCAUGAAUGAAUUGAAUAUGUUUUGAACUUAGUUGAUAGAUUACUAAGGUUAGUAGCUAAAUAUAAGUAUUUUGUUAAGUGAUUUUUGGUAAUUUUAAUGUUUAGGGACUUAUUUGUGAAAAUAGUAAAAUUUCAUGUAAACAUUGUGAAAUGGUGAUAAAUAUGGGCUGUAAUGGAUCCCUAUGAAAAUCGACUAGCAUGAAUUUUAGUUAAUUGUGGUUAAAUUGCAAGUUUCGGGUUUAUAGACUAAAUUGCAUAAAGAUAAAAUGUUGGGGUAAUUUUGUAAAAUGAUGAUGGAUUGACUUAAUUGUAUAAAAUGGCUUAUUUGAGUGUUGGAAUGGUAUUAAUUGAAUGAAAUUAUUAUUUAGAUUAAGAAACAAACCAAUCGGAUUUAGAUCAAAGAAAAACUAAAGUUUCGGACUAGUCGUCGAAUCUGUUUUUGCAACCGUUUUGGUCUAGGUAAGUUCGUAAGUUAAUUUAGUAGUUAAUUAAUUGAUGUUUUGUAAUUCAAUGAUUAUCUAUAUAUAAUUGGUUCGUCAAAUUCCUUGGAUUGAGAAACGAGAAAGACCAUAAUUGAAAGGUAUCACGAUAUUUAAACCGAAAUAAUAAGACCAUAGUUGAAAGAUAUUAUGGCACUAAACCAAAAAUGCGUAAGACCAUAGUUGAAAGAUACUAUGGCAUUAAAGUCAAUAUGAAUAAGACCAUAGUUGAAAGAUAUUAGGGCAUUACAUCGGUAACGAUCAAAACCAUAGUUGAAAGAUACUAUGGCACUAUUUCGGGAAUGCAUAAGACCAUGGUUGGAAGAUACCAUGGCAUCCUUUGGAAUAAUGAAUUAUUCGGCAAGGUACACCAUUGGAGUGAAUACUUCACUGAACUAUCGAGGUUUGUUGUACGAAAAUGAAUCAAAUGAUCAUAUAGAUGAUUUAUGACUUAAUGCAUAAUUAAGUUAAAUAAUCUUGAUUUAGCAAUUUAUGUUACAUUCUAUAUGAGCUUCCUAAGCAUAAUUUGCUUACGUUGUCUGUAUUUUUCUAUUGUAGAUCUUGAGAAGCUUUGAUAGUUGGAAGAUCGAGUCGGAGCACACACACUAUCCGUUCAUCAUCUCGGUAGAUGUUUUGAUCUUUUGAUGUAGGUUAUAAAUGGCAUGUACUAGGAAUUUUUAAGCUAUUUUUGUCAAUGUGAUGAUGUUUUAACCUUCUUUUAGCUACUUGUACAUAUAUGGCUUAGUUUUGGUUCAAAGUUGUAUAAAAGAUGGUGUUUUGGCAUCUUAAUUUCAUCUACUUAUAAAUGGUUAUAAUAUGUUUGUGGUAGACAUAAAUGGUAAGAAUGAAUGAUAAGUGUGGUAUGUGUUUAUGGUUGAAUAUUAUAGUUUGAAUGCAAAGUAGCUUGGUGUGAUAUAUGAGUUUGAUUUGGAAAUUGAAUUGUGGUGUCAAUUAGGGCACAUUGGUUAAGCACCUAGGUUGGAUUUUUGGUAUAUUAUAAGUUUGUUUGAAUUAGUUUUGAAGGCAUGAAAAUGGUUGUUUUUUGUUGUGGCUUCGUAUCUAAGAAAUGGUAUUGUUUUGGCUUAUUUUGGAAGACAUAUUUGGUGCACACGGCCUGGGACAUGGGUUGUCACACACCUGUGUGUCUUAUUGAUUUUCAAGUGCAGGUUGGUCCACACAGUCACAGAGAGUUAUAUGGCCUAGCGACACAGUCGCGUGACCUUAUUUCGAAUGCACACACGAUCUGGCACAUAGUCUACGACAUGACUGCGUAAAGCUAUUUUGAAUACCCAUACGGGCGGACACACGAGUUGGGACACGACCGUGUGUCCCAUAGUUCAAAUGUUAUACGGCUGACCACACGACUAUGUUUUGAAUUCGUGGUUUUGUCACACAGUCGUGUGACCCUGUUUCUAAUUUUUUCAAAAUUUUCUAUUUUAUUUCAAAUUAGUCCCUAAUUGUUCCCAAACUAUUUUUAAGGCCUUAUAGGUGGAAUGGAAUGUUAAUAUUUUAAAUUGGUAAAUUGUUUCUAUUUGAUGUUAAUUGUUUUGAUUUGUACGGUAAUACUCUAUAACCCUAAUCCGACGAAGAAAGCGGAUUAGGGGUGUUACACAUUUUUACAAAGUCGUUUGGUAAACUUCAAUUUGAAUAUCUUCUCAGCAAGUUGGGCAAUUAUGAUUUGCAUGCUCUAACUUGAGGGGGUGUUAGGGUAUUAUUAUGGGAUACUAUCUUUUAACAAUUUGAUUCCUAAUAAGGUGUUAUAUAAUAUUAUUAUGUGAUAUUAUCUCUUAGCAAUUUGAUUCGUAAUGGGAUAUUAUAUGAUAUAUUAUCUUUUAGCAAUUUGAUUCCUACGUAACUACUACUGUAUAGAUAUAUAUAUAUACCCUUGAGGUCUAUCAAUAAAAUUCAAGAGAUUACCCUAUUCUUAUCAAACUCCAAUAAGAACAUUAUAAGAGAGAAGUCUUUUGCUUGUCAACUUGUUACCAUGUUGGUUCUUUUUCAUGGCUCUACUAGACCACUUCUUAUUGGUGAAAGCUUGAACUCUGCACCUGCUACUAAUAAUGCAGCUACGGUUGUUACUCAGCCAUUUCUUCUUUAAUUGAGAGCAAUAAUGAUCUGCGUUUUUUCUUUGCAAAUAUAUCCCAUAAUCCAAAUCAUGCAGUGGUUGAAGUUGAUGAACCAACUCAGAAAACUUUGGAACUUCCAAACAAUCAGCCUUUUUGCCUAUGCUAUUAGAGAACACCAGUUUACCUGAAGAUGCAGACAACAAUAUCCAUUCAUCCAAUCAUGAUAGUGGUACAAAACAUAAAAGAGAUGUACACGAGAGUGAUAAACAUGCAAAUUCUGAAGAUUGAAGUCCAAAUGUCUACAAUGGCUAUUAGAAGUGGAUCAAGAUGGACCUAUAGUGACUCUAUGAUAAGGGCUUAAAAGGGUUGGUACGUUAGGAUUUUGUGUCAUUAUUGCAAUGAUUUCGUCAUUAUACUUGUCAAUUUUCAAAUAGAUUGAUUAAAUAAAAUUUUAUAAUUAAAUUAUUAUAUUUAUAUUUUGUUCUUAAUGAAUUUUGCAUAAAAAACAAAAUGAAUUAAUAAAUAUCAAUUUAUUGAUUACCUAAGUUUAAAUUAAUAUUAGGUUGUAUUAUAGGGAUAAAUCAUAAUGCCAAAAAUAAAACUUAUAUUUGUAGGUAAUUUAAGUUGUUUGUAAUUUAAGGAAUCAAAACGAGUAAUUGUGUAAAAUCUUGAAAUUUGGGGUUAGAAGUUUUGAGGUUUAUGGUUAGGGUAAGUGAUAGGUUGAGCAAUUGUGUUUAUUUUCGUGUUUUAACGUAAGAAUGAGUCUAUUGGUUUGGUGGUUGAGUGUGUUGCUAGUUUGCCUUGGUCCUGUGUUUAAAUCCCGAUGUGAGAAAUCAGAGAAUUUUAUUUUUGGGGUUUUUUAGUAUUAAAUUAACUUUAUUUAUUCUCUUAAUUAGAUUUUUUUAUUUUUACUUUCUUUCACAUUAUCCUAUUUUUCCUCUCUUUCUUUCACACGUUGGUUUUCUUUUUGUUUCUCUUAUGUCAGUAUCAUUUUUUUUUCUUUUUUCUUCUUUUGGCUAUUAUGCUUUCCUUUGUAUCCUAGUGGUCGUGCAUUAAAGUUUUGAUUUUGGUCUUUCAAUAGAGGAAUUGCAUAAUUAGUUUGUUUAAAUGCUGAAUCAUGUAAGUGUUUUCGAAUUUUAAUUUAGAUUCUUGAUUCUUUAUUUGUUGAUAAAGCUUUUAAAGUAGUUGUGUAUUUCGAAAUUGAGUUUCAAAUUGGUUGAGUUCAGUCAAAUCGACUGGUUUCCGAUUUUAGAAUUGUGUUCUAAAGUGUAUUUCUGAACUAUAUUGUUUGUGGGUCAAUUUAUUGGUUGAAAUUCUCUUUUUUAAAUUGUUUCGGUAUGGUUUGGUAACCACACGGGUGACCACAAUGGCGUGUGCUACACACAUGAGAUUCACACGGUCGUGUGAUUUUGGGAAUUAGGGUUUUUAGAUGAUUUUUGGUGACACACGGUUGUGUAGUUGAUAUUUGGGGAUUAUUAUCGAUUUGCACACGGGCGUAUAAAAUUUCCACACAGCCGUGCCUGCCCUGCACCUUAUUUUGCCAAUUUUGGACAGUGAGUUACACGAGCUGUUCACACGGCCAUGUAACUCGGUCACACAGGCAUGUGUCUCCUUCACACGAGCGUGUAGACCCCCGUACGACCUAGGCCAUUCCACACGGCCGUGUGACCCUGUUUCGCAAAUUUUUAUCCUGUGUCGUAUUUUGAACUGUUCUAGUUCUUAUGUAGUCCAACGUUCAUUGAUGCCUCUAUAAAUGUGUUGGGAUUCUAUUUUCCGCUUAGAUUCGAGUGUGUGUUUGCAAAUAUAGGAUUUAAGUUAAUUGUUUGUUCAUGUGUUUAGAUGAUGUGAUAAAUGAAUUAAGGUAUUUUUUAUAUCGUAAAACUAGUAAAACCGAUUCUGAAAUUGACUGACUGAAUAUGAGCUUCUGUGUCUUUGAGUCUGUUAGUGUUUGGUGUGCAUUCAUACAUUUGUAUAAAAUUGGGGGUUUUUGGUUGCGAAGAGAAGGAAUAUUGAUUUGGGCAAAUUUAACUGCAAUAUUUAUGUGCAGCGAUUUAUUGCACUAUACUAUCCGUAUACCAGCUCAGUUGUAUACUUUUACUCGAGUGACUUAGUUCCACUAUAUGUGAUGUGUAGGUUGGAUGAAUCUAUUGUGGUUCUAUGUGGUGUGUAGGGUGGACGGGCCUUUUGUAUCCCUUAUAUGGUGUGCAAGGUAGACGAAGAGAUUUUAUCAAAAAAAAAAAGGUAGACGAAGAGAUGUUUGGUUGGUUGGUUGGUUGUAAAUUAAUGUGAAUAGUCUGGCGUGUAAAAUAUACCAUUAUGCUGUGUGUGUAUGAUUACUGGAAAUUACUUGUAAGAUGGAGUACUGAUACUUGUUGUCCGUUCACUGUUUGUGUGCACAUAUUAAAUAUUCAUUUUGAUACUUUGCCUGUUGCUUUUGUUUAUAAUUUCAGACUCACACUGAGCUCAUGUAGCUCAUUCCUUAGUUUCCUCUCUUUCAAAUAAAUUUUGUGUUAGAAGAUGGACUCGACAGCAGAAGGUUUCAAAAAGUUUGGUUUGAUUCGGUUUAGUUAAAACUUUCAUAAGUCUAUACGAUUGGUUUUAAGAUUUUUUGUAAAGCGAUUAUAUAAAUUGUGGUAUGGGUUAAGGUUUGAACUUUGCGUUAAGCUACGUGAUUUCGAUUUUGAACAACAUAUUUUUCGCACAAUUUCUAAUUUGAAAUUUCGAGAUACAUUUGGCAACAUUGAUGCAUUUUUGAGAGUACAACAAGAAAUUCCUAAAUGUUUUAACACCACUUAAUUGUGGUUUUGAACCAUAAAUUGUUAAACAAUUAGUACGAUUUUAGCAAACUGUAUUCGAAAUGAGUUCUAAACAUUUCUUUUUAUAAAUUGCUUUUGGAUCACUUCGAUGGUCAAUGUAACCUCCGAGAUUCGAUCAAAACUUUUGAGCCGAAUUUUAGGGUGUUACAAAUUGUUUCGUGAGACAAUUAUUUUGUCUAUUAAGUCCAAUUGGAGAGACACCUUAUUUUAAGUAUCAGAGCAAAUGAGAUAUGAUUAUUCAAAUUGAAAAUAUAUUUAGACAUGACUCAAGUUGAAUUUAUCCUAAAUACGUUUAUAAAUUUAUUCACUUAUGAUAAUCAUGGUGUGACUUACGUCAUUUUUGAGUCAGUAAAUAACAAUAUGUACCUAACUCAUAUACUUUGAUAUACUGAAAGCUUGCAUUCCAUUGGUCUUGGAGUCGAAAGUUGGUAUGUUGAAUAUGUUAUUUAUGUAUGACAUGAUUUCGCUCACAAUAGUAAAAUUCAUAGCUCAAAGAAAGAGUAAAUAGUAUCAUCUCACCAACAUUACAUAGAUUAUGAAAAAGGAACAUGUCUGUGUAUUGUUCAUCAAGGAUAAAUUAUUGUUAUUACUUUUUGUUAGUAAUAAUAUUUUUCAUUAUGAAAAAUGCAAUGGUAAUCAUAUUGGGCAAACAAAUUUAACCCAAAGAUAUUAAGUAUAUUACACUAAUGACAAGGUCAUUGGAGAAAAACAUAAAUCUAAGUUGUUUUUGUAAUGGUAUAUAAUGAGAGAUUAGUCAAGGUGCUUUUGGAUUGGCUUCAUGACUAAAUAAUGUUAUAACUAAUAAAUGAAGAGUCGAAACUUGAUUACAGAUUAUUUAAAAUCUAAUUAUAUAUGUUUCAUAGAUCCUUUCGUUAGCUCAAUACAACUCUGUAUGGAAUGCAAUUUAAAACUGUUAUGAUAAAUGAAUGAAAACGAUGAAUGAGAAAUAGAUUUCAUGAAUUACAAUUCACAAGAUAUUCAUUUUCUCAAUAGGAACAAAAGAUGACUUAAAAAUCAAUUAAUAUCUUUGGAUUAUUAUUUACUUGAAUGUAAUUAAAUAAUUGAGUUCAAAGCAAGAAUUAAAUUAUUUACUCAUCAUAGUUUUACUAAAUAGGUCAAUUAAAUUUAUUUGGCUAAAGGGGUAUAUAGGCCCUUAAACUUUCGCGAAAAAAUCAAUUAAGCUCUUCCACGAAAAAUGCUCUCAAUUAAGCCCUCAAGCUCUCAAAUUGCAUCAACUUUUUACCAAUAUUUUUCGCCUUUGAUCAUUAUAGUGCUGACAUGGUCAUUAACGGUGUUGACAUGGCACUUCAUGUCAGCAAUUGCUGAUGUGGCAAUACCACUUCAGCUGUCACAUUAGCAAAACAUAAAAAAAAUUCAAAUUUUUUUUUAAAAACAAAAAACUUGAAAGAAAAUUUUUUAUUAUUGGAAUUGUCCAAAUUCAUUCAUUUUAGAACUUAACUUUAAAAUUUAAAAAAAAUAUUUUUUAAAUAAUAAAUUUGUAAAAACAUUAUUAAAAUUUAUAAAGAGUACUAAAUAAAAUUAAAAAAAUUAAAUAUUAAUAAAAGUCAUUUAAAGAUGAAUAUGAACCUAUGGUUGUCCAAGUUCACAUUGAACCUGAACAAUAUGUCCAGAUUCAAUGUUAACUCCAUUUCCAAUCUAAUGCAUAAGCAAAACGGUGGUAUAAAAUCAACAUUACGCCUUGUCUAAUGCAUUGCCCUGAUAAUACAUGCACUGUCACAUGUCACAUACAACUCUACCCUUAAAUGAAGGUCCAAUUUAGAGAAGUAACACCAUAUUGAUCCAAGAUGAUGCUCGGGUGCUUAAAGCGAAGUAUUAUCCUCAAUCAGAUUUUAUGCAAGCAAAUUUAAAGCAUGGUGCUUCGUACACUUGGACAAGCAUCAGCUCAAAAAGUGUUAGAAGACGGGAUGUGUUGGCGAGUUCGAUGGGGUGAUAAAGUUUCAAUUUGUAAUCAUGCUUGGUUACCGAGUUUGAUUAAUUAUAAAUUAAGCAACGCAGUUCGAAACCUUGAUGUUUCUAUAUUUUCCGAUCUAAUUAAGAGAACUUUUAGUGAGUGGAAGAGAGAGAUUAUUACCAAUACCUUUGCAGAUGUUGAUGUGGCCAGGACACUUCUAAUCCCGCUGGCAGCGAAUCCUCAGCAGGACGUGAUGGUGUAGGGAGGUGAGUCCUCAGGAGAGUUCUCCGUUAGGAGUGCUUACAAAUUUUUACAGACAAGUAUUCCUAUUCCUAUCCUAGAUGAAUUACAAAAUGCAGCUAGAGAAUUUUACAAGCAACUUUGGGGCUUAAACCUACCAUCUAAAAUCAAGAUUACAAUAUGGCGUAUUUCAAAAAAUUCUUCCCUAUGCUAUCAAAUAUGCAUUACAAAAGACUAGUUGCCGAUAUGAUGUGUCCAAGAUGUGGGGAGGGUGCUGAAACUAUGAAUCAUGUUUUUAGGAGUUGUCCUGUUACAAAGGAGAUAUGGGUGUUAGUUGGUUUUCCUGGGAUCUUAUUAAAUUCAAUACAGGACAUGUUCGAGUAGUUUACUUGGGUUUUCAACAACUGCUCAGUACUUCAACGCGUAUCAUUCUAUUGUGGUCUGUGGGUCUUGUGGACUGCAAGAAACAAAUUUAUGCAUGAACAUUGUGCUAAAUCGGCGGUUGACACAUCAAGGUUCAUUCAAUGAUACAUUAAAGAAAUAGAAGGCGUCAAGGAAAAGGAGGUUGCCCGGAAGGUGAUCUAUGCAAAAUGGAAGCCCCCUUCAGGAAUAUGCAUCAAACUUAAUUUUGACGCAGCCUUUGAUAAGGAUUUUUUCAAAUCUGGGACGGGGAUUGUAGCCAAAAAUGCGCAAGGGCAGGUGAUUGCAUCACGUUUAAUACUCCACUCAAACGUGGGCUCAGCAUUUGUAGCAGAAGCCCUCGCAUGUUCAUGGGCAGUUAAAACGGGGUUAGAGUUGGGGGUUACAGAAGCAAUUAUCGAAGGCGAUUCUCUAACGAUUAUCAAGAAAUGCAAUAAUAUGUCCCAAGAUAAGUCUGAAAUACGAGCUCACAUCCAGAAUAUACAGUAUCACAGUAGCAGAUUUCUCUCCAUACAGUUUAAACAUGCUAAUCAACUCGCACAGAGAUUAACAGUUGAAAGUUUGAGAAAUGGAGAGGAGUUUUACCUGGAAGGAGCGGUCCCGGGCUUCGCAAGGAGAACGAUGGAGGAAGAGUGGAUUCGUGAACCAGAUUGAAGGAAUAAUGGGGAAGUGUCUUGAUCCCUAAGGAGCAGAAAUGAGAAAAAUCAUUUCUGUGAAAAUAGGAUUCCCGAGGAAUGGGCUGACUUUUGUUUAUUUUUUAAAAUUAUUUUGCUCUGCGCCGGUGAGUGCUAAGGCUCCUAGUGGAUUUCCUUUAUUAUCAUAAAAAGGAGAAAGAAAUACACCAAACAAAAUUUAUAAUUUAAAUUCAACGCUUAAUUUUUUAAUAUAACAUCUUAUUGUUAAUAAGAUUUCAUUUUAGUUUGCGGCAAAAUCUCGAUAAUAUUGAAUACACAAAACUAAUUGUACAAGGAAGUUGCAAGAAAUUGUGUGCACCCAUAUAUAUAUAUAUAUAUAUUACAUUUGAAAUAAUAUUAAAAUAUUAACAUUUAUAACAUUGCUAAAAUAAAAUAUAUAUAUAAUUUUUUCAACCAAACAAUAAAAGUCAUUUAUAUUGAAUUAUCAAAACUUUUUGUUGAAGAAUAUUUCUAUAUUUAACUCUCUUUAUAAUAAUCGUACUUGCUUACCAAAAUUUUGUUAGAAAAAGAUUCUAUUUUACGCCUAUAACAAUAUUUGGUGUUUUGAUUAUUGAUUUUCUAAUUUUCACAUUAAAAAUUAUAAUAUAUUAAUAAUAUUAAGCAAUGAGAUUUAGAUGAUAUAUUUAAUAAAAUUUAAAAUGUAAUUUCAUUUAUUAAUAUUAUUUUAAUUCUCAAAAAUAUUUUUUAUUAAUAAAAUGUCAUUAAUAUAUAUUUUUGUAAAAAAAACAUUUUAUUGAAAUAACAUUUUAAUUAAAUUUUAUUAUUUUUUAAAUAAAAUAAAUUUUACUAAAAUUUGAGAAAAUAAACUAUUAUAGAAAUAUCAUCCUCUAAGUAGCCUAGUGGAGGUAUUGUACUCAGGGUGUCUAUGCUCGAUUUUAGCCCCGAGUUUUUGUCUUCCUACUACAGAUAAAGGCUGAACAAGUUCAUGGAGUUUCAACCGAAGCACCUAGGUUCAUCAAUGAAAUGUUUUAUCACUAGUGUUCUUACCUUCUAAAACCCUUUAAGGGCUUGGGUUCAAACCUUAUCAAGGCCAAAAUGAUAAAAUAGUUCUUUGGUAGACUCUAGGAGUUCUCCGUAAACUCCUUUAGGCUCUCCUCGAAGUUGGGCUAAAACUGAGUAUAUAGACACCUAGGGAACAAUGCUAAUUGUUCGAGGUUUAGAUUGACUACUCAAAAGACUACACUUCAAAAACUUCUUCCAAUAAGAGAGUCGAGUCCUCCAAUAAUAGCUAACUAUAUUUUUGAAUAAGCAAUUUUUUAAGCGAAUCUAUACUAUUAUGCUUUUUUUGUAAUUCUUAACAAUAAUGACUAAAUUAUCAAUAAAUGCCAUUUUUUUUAAAAAAAAUUACUAUAUUAGGUCAUUUUUUGGAAGAACUACAAGAAUAGGUCGAUUUACAGAAGGUGAAAUUCAGAAAAACGUCUAAGUGGAAGCGUUUUCAAGUGAUUUACAAAAAAACACUUUCAGCUGGAAGCACUUUCAGCCACAUCAGCACUAAAAGUGGCAACACCAAUGUUUUUUUUUUUUAAAAUUUUCUGGUGCCACCUAGUAAUGUGGAAAUGAAACUUACAAAAUAGGUCUUUAUAUAGAUCCCUAGUCUCAUUUCCCUUGUUUUCUUAAUGUGGGAUGUGGGAUAUGGGUAUAUAUAGACUCAUAAUCCAUUUGCAGCUUGUUUGUAGACAAUGUGAAAUUGCUUACUCUUUCAACUAACAAUAUAAUAUUAAAGACUAUACUUAAUUUUUAAUUUAGAUUAAAGGCUAUAAUUAAUUUUUAAUUUAGAUUAAAGACUAUACUUAAUUUUUAAAAAUUAAAGAUAAAAUUUUAUAUAACAUUAAACUCUAACAAAAUAAAAAAUUAUAAACUCUUAUACAAAUAUUAUAGUUAAAAGACAGUCCAAUAAAAAAAAAUCUAGAUGCGUUUUUUUUAAUUUCACCUAAAAACGCUUUCGUAAAAUUGGCCUAUUCUCAUAAUCCUUCCAAAAAACAGUCUAAUAUGAUAAAAUUUAAAAUAUUUUGACAUUUAUUAGUAAUUUAAUCCAAUAAUAAUUAAUUUUAAUUUUAAUUUUAAUUAUAUAAAAAUAGUUAAAUUUCAAUUGGGAGCGUAUAUAUACUACAUAUUUAUGUGAGAUUUAAAAUUUAUGGUGAAAAAAAGGAAGUAAAGGUUAUAUAUUUUAAUAAAAUAAUUAAUUAAAUAAAAGAACACUUAAAGUAAAUAGAGAAUUUUUUCGUCUCCUCUUUUCAUUUAUAAAAGAGCUAUAUAUAAGCCAUUGAUAUUCAAUGCAACAUAAACGAAUGAAGCUUAUUUGACAACUUCAUUAAGUCGUACAUUAAGCAUCUUUAAUAAUGAAUGGGGGGUUUUAACUCAUUACUUUCAUAAAUGUUUAAAGGUUAUAGACAUCCAUUUAAUGUAUUUACAACAAUCCCUAGUCCUUUAAAUAAAAAUGUGUCUCAUUAAAACCUUUAUUAGGAAAAACCCUGUGGGAUAAAAAUCUAAUGAAGGAAAAAGAGUACAUAAUCUCCUGUUACAAGUUGCCUUGUUAAAAACCUUUACGAGGAAAACCCAGUAGGACAAAACCUUGGUUAAAGGAAAAGAGUACAAUGUGUUUUAGGCUCCCCAUAAUGGCAACAUCACAUUAUGUCUUUGAGUCGACGCAUUCCAAUAUUGUUUCGUAGUCUUUUAAAUGUUGAAGUUGGCAAUGCCUUGGUAAAAAGAUCUGUUAAAUUAUCACUAGAACGAAUUUGUUGAACUUCUAUGUCACCUUUCUUCUUAAGAUCAUGAGUGAAGAAUAAUUUUGGUGAAAUAUAUUUCAUUCUUUCACAUUUGAUAUAACCACCCUUUAAUUGAGUUAUACAUGCUGCAUUAUCUUCAUAUAAGAUAGUUGACAUAUUUUCCUGUAAAGGCAAAUUGCAUAUCUUCUGGAUAUGUUGGGUUAAUAACCUUAGCCAAACACAUUCUAGACUUGCCUCAUGCAUUGAAUUUUUUUUAGCAUGAUUUUAAGAGGUAGCAUCUAAUGUCUGCUUUGUCGAACGCCAUGAUAUGGCAGUACCUCUACAUGUAAAUAAAUAUCUCGUUUGAGAUCGACCUUUAUGUGGAUCUGAUAAAUAUCCAACAUCAGCAUAACCAACUAAUAGGGAUUUUGAAUCAUUUGAAUAAAAUAACCCCAUAUUAAUGGUCCCUCUGAGAUAUCUAAAUACAUGUUUAAUUCUAUUCUAAUGUCUACAUGUUGGAGAAGAACUAAAUAUUGCUAACAAGUUUACAACAAAAACUAUAUCAGGUCUUGUGUUGUUUACAAGGUACAUCAAUACUCUAAUGACAUUUAGAUAUGGUACUUCAGGACUAAGAAACUCUUCAUCAUUCUCACAAUGACGAAAUUGAUCUUUAUUCACAUCUAACGAUCAUACAACCAUUGGGGUACUUAAUGGAUGUGCUUUAUCCAUAUAAAAUUUCUUUAAGAUUUUUUCGUAUAAGUUGACUGAUGGGCAUGAAUUCCAUCUUUUAAAUGCUCGAUCUGCAGGCCAAGAUAAAACUUUGUUUUUUCAAGAUCUUUCAUCUCAAAUUCUUUCUUUAAAUAAUUUACUGCAUUUUGAAACUCUUCAAGAGUUUCAAUAAUAUUUAGAUCAUCAGCAUAAAUAGCAAUUAUCACAAAGUUUGAUCCAUACCUUUUUAUAAAAACACAUGGGCAGAUUGGAUCGUUUUUGUAAUCUUCUUUUAACAAAUAUUCACUAAAACAAUUAUACCACAUACAUCCAAAUUGUUUUAAUCCAUAUAAACUUUUCCUUAAUCUGUUUGAGCAAUUUUCCCUGAAAACUCUAUAUCCUUCAGGGAUUUUAAAUCCUUCUGGGAUUUUCAUAUAAAUUUCACUAUCAAGUGUACCAUACAAAUAAGCUGUAACAACAUCCAUUAGACGCAUGUCAAGUUUUUCACUUACUGCCAGACUAAUAAGGUAUUUAAACGUGAUUGCAUCCACCACAAUAGAAUAUGUCUCUUCAUAAUCAAUACCAGGCCUUUGCGAAAAUCCUUGUGCUACAAGUCGUACUUUAUAUGUUACAAAUUCAUUUUUCUAAUUUCGUUUUCUCACAAAUGUUCAUUUAUAUCCUACCGGUUUUACAUAUUUAGGUGUUUGGACUAUAGGUCCAAAAACCUCACGUUUAGAAAGUGAAUUUAAUUUUGCUUGAAUUGCAUCUUUCCAUUUUGGCUAAUCUUUUCUAUUUCUACAUUUCUCAAUAGAUUUAGGCUCAAGAUCCUCAUUUUCUUUUACUAUUUCAAUAGCAACAUUAUAAGCAAAAUUAUUGUCAACAAUUAUAUUUUUCGGUUCUAUUUUUUUCUUGAAGUAAUAUAACUUAUUGAGAUUUAUUUGUUAUCACCAUUUUCAGGUACCUAAACCUCUUCUGGGUUUUUUUAUUAGUUAUAUCAUUGGCCUCUUCUUGGGCACUUGUCUCCACAAUAUUACCAUCUUGAAUAAUUUCUCCUUUCCUUUUACGAGGAUUUUUAUCUUUGGAACUGAUUGGCUUUCCAAGCUUCAGGCAUGGAUUACUUUCUUUUGCACUAAUAAUUUUUCUUAUUGGGAUAUCAAUUUGUAUUGGAGCAUUUUCAGCUGGUAUGUGAGAUUUUGUAAUUCUCUUUAGGCCAGUAAAUGAAUCUGGCAGUUGAUUGGCAAUGUUUUGCAAAUGUAUGCUUCUUUGAACUUCUUGUUCAUAUUGACUUGUGCAAGGAUCUAAUUGAGAUAAUGAUGAUCCAUUCCAUAUAAUUUCUUUUACCAAAUGCAUUUUCUCUCCCCCUAAUGUUGGGGAUGUUGUUUCAUCAAAAUGACAAUCAAUAAAUUGUGUAGUAAAUAAAUCUCCAGUUAAUGGUUCAACAUAUUUAAUUAUAGAAGGAGAUUCAUAACCAACAUAUAUUCCCAACCUUCUUUGAGAACCUAUCUUUGUGCAUUGUGGUAGAGCAAUUGGAACAUAUACUGCACAUCUAAAAAUUCUAAGAUGGGAAAUAUUUGGCUUCUGACCAAAAGCCAAUUGUAAUGGGGAGUACUCAUUAUAACUUGUUGGUCUUAAGCGUAUAAGUGCUGCUGCAUGCAAAAUAGCAUAUCCCCAAGCUGUAACAGGGAAUUUUGUUCUCAUAAGCAAUGGCCGAGCUAUUAGUUGGAGGUGUUUGAUAAACGAUUCAGCUAAAUCGUUUUGUGUGUGAACAUAAGCUACAGGAUGUUCAACUUUUAUCCUAAUUGACAUACAAUAGUCAUUAAAAGCUUGGGGUAUAAACUCACCAGCAUUAUCAAGACGAAUAGUUUUGAUUGCAUAAUUUGGAAAUUGUGCUCUUAAUCUAAUUAUUUAAGCAAGUAGUCUCGUAAACGCUAGGUUACGAGUCGAUAAUAAACACACAUAUGACCACCUACUAGAUGCAUCUAUUAAUACCAUAAAAUAUCUGAAUGGUCCAUAUGGUGGAUGAAUGGACCCUCAUAUAUCACCUUGAAUACGUUCUAGAAAUGUGGGAGAUUUAAUCCCAACUUUAGCUGGUGAUGGUCUAAUAAUCAAUUUUUCUUAAGAACAAGCAACACAAGAUAAAUAUUUGAAUUCAAGAAUCUUUUGGUUCUUUAAUGGGUGUCCAACUGAAUUCUCAAUGAUUCUUCGCAUCAUAAUAGAUCCGGGAUGGCCUAAUCGGUCAUGCCAAAUAGUUAAAAUAUGUGGUUCUACAAACUUCUGGUUUGUAGUAACAUGUGACUCAAUUGCACUAAUAUGUGUAUAAUAUAAACCUGAUGAAAAAAUAGGUAGCCUUUCCAAAACACAUUUCUUUCCACAUUCAACAUUUGUAAUAUAUAGAUAUUCAAUAUUUUUAUCUUUGAGUGUCGUAUGUGUUGUAGCACUAUCUGUAAGACACAUGUCUCCAUUGAUUUUGGGUUCAUCAAAAUUUUGUUGAAUAUUCAUAUUCUUUAUAAAAACAAACAAAAUAUAAUAUGAGAAACAUUACAAAUAUUUAUUAAAUAUAUAAAUUAUUCUUUAUGCAAGAAAAUAAAACAUAUUUAAAACAACAUAAAAAUGUCAAAAUAACAUCAAUUUGUCUAAUGAUUCUCAAAUAAAUUUGCCACAUCUAGGUGAGUUAUAUUGUUAAGGUCAUUAAAUUUAUCACCCUUGUAGGCAUGGUUAGUUUUAGUAUUAUAGUGAAUAUCUUCAUAUUUUGCCUCCAUUUCAUCAUUUUGGGAUAUAAAAUUUGUCUCUAUAUGCUUUCCCUUUUUUUUAAUGGAUGCUUGAUAAAGUUUUACUAAAUGUUCAGACAUACAACAGGUACAUGACCAAUGCCCCUUCAUACCACAUAGGUAGCAUUUAUUCUCAACAAUCUUUGAAGGAUUAUUUUGACCACUUCUUUCUUGCCUUUCAUUGUUAUUAUUUUUCUGGUGGUUAAAAGUAUCAUUGUUAUGACCACCAUGAUAACGAUUACUAGUACGUCCUCAACCACGUCCCGUACUACGUCCACGACCACAGCCGCGACCUCUAUAUUUUCUGUUUUUAUAUUUUUUGUGUACUGCUACAUUCACUUCAGGGAAUGGUGUAGAACCAGUGGGAUGAAUUCCAUGAUUUUUCAUCAACUCAUUAUUUUGUUCAACCACCAAAAGGCAUGAAAUCAAUUCAGAAUACCUUUUAAAACAUUUUUCACGGUAUUGCUGCUGCAGGAGCACAUUAGUAGCAUGAAAGGUUGAAAAUGUUUUCUCUAACAAGUCCUCAUCAGUUAUGUUUUCUCUACAUAAUUUUAGUUGAGAACUAAUUUUGAAAAGUUCUGAAUUGUAUUCACUUACAGUCUUAAAAUAUUGUAACCGUAAGUGCAUCCAAUCAUAACGAGUUUUAGGGAGUAUCACCGUUUUUUAAUGGUUAAAUCGUUCUUUCAAAUUUUUCCACAACUCAAGAGGGUCUUUCACAGUGAGAUAUUCCACUUUUAAUCCUUCAUGUAGAUGAUGACGGAUGAAAAUCAUUGCUUUUGCCUUAUCUUGAUUCGAUGCUUCUUUAUCGGUUAAUAUAGUAUUUCCUAGGCCUUUAGCAUCUAGGUGAAUUUCGACAUCUAAUACCUAUGACAAAUAAUUCUUGCCUGAGAUGUUUAAGGCCGCAAAUUCAAAUUUGACAAGAUUUAACAUUAUAAUCACUUGAAUCAAAAAUAAAAAAUAUUAGUAAAAUAAUAAGCAUUCUCAAUCGUAAAAUAAUUCAAUUAUAUAUACCAAAUUUGCUAAAUAAUAAUAUGUAUGUCAAAUAUUGGCAUAGAAAAGAAUAGUCAUGAUAAUAACUUAACACAAAUUACAUUAAUUGAAAUUUCUUUUAAUAAAAAAACAUGUAUAUAUAAUUAUCAUUAUUAGAUUUGAGUUGUAAAAAUAAAUGUGCAAAUGUUACCCAAAGAAAAAAUUUCAUCUAGAAAAUAAAAUAAAAGAAUUAUGAAAAUACGUAUACCGUAUAUAGUUUAACGAGAGUUAUACAGAUAAAUUAUAUAAAGUGAAAUGACGUGAACUUCACUAUGAACUCGUAGAAGUUUGUGCUGAUAAUGUAUUAUAAAAUAAUUAAUUAAAUAAAAGAACAUUUAAAGUAAAUAAAAAAUUUUCUUGUCUCCUUUUUUCAUUUAUAAAAGAGCUAUAUAUAAAUUAUUGACAUUCAAUGCAACAUAAAUGAAUGAAAUUUAUUUAACAGCUCCAUUAACACAUACAUUAAACAUAUUUAAUAAUAAAUGAGAAGUUUUAACUCAUUACUUUUAUAAAUGUUUAAAAGUUAUAGACAUCCAUUUAAUCUAUUUAUAAGAUUAUAAGAAUUUUCUCUCAUAUAUUGGAUUCCACUUGGAAAUAAUCAGCAUCUAGCCGCCGAGCCGACAGAGGAUGAGGAAGAAGGAGCUAGUCAGAUGCCAGGUCAUCUAUGCGGGACCCGGAAUGGUUGAGACAUUACAGGGAGGGCACGUGUAGGAAACCCAUCAACAACAAUGGAGGUGGGUGUACCCGAUGAAUUCCUCUCUCUCACUUCUCAUUUCUCAACUUCCAUUAUCAUUUCUUCUUUAUCUCUCUUUCCUUUCACCGCCUAUAUAAAAUUAAUAAUUAUGUUAACUUUUAAAAGGGAGUUUGCUGCUGUUAAGUCUGUUUUAUUCAAUUCAAUUCUCAUUAGACAUUUAGUCAGAUUUUUUUUUUCUCUCUUUUACGGUGCUUCUACCUUUCCACGCAAUCUCAACUCCCCCCUUUUAGAGAUCGGAUAAUUUUCAGUUCUCGAAUUAUUUCCCCUCUGUAUUUGUAAAUCCUCACCUUUUCCGCAUGUUAAUUUGUUAAAUUAUUUUUCAUGUUUUUGCUUUUUUAUUUUUGGAUUGAUGAACUGAUUGAUCUCUGUUAUCUGACCAAUAGGGUGCUUUGAUUUUCUGCCUGUAAUUCAUAAACUGAUGUUGUUUGGAUCGUUUAUCCUGAUAAAGGAGGAAUCUUUUUGGGUGGUUAGGGUUAGGGUUUGGGAUGUUUUGGUAAUUGCUGGGGAAGGAUUGGUAUUUUGAUAACAUGAUAUAUGGUGGUUUUCGGAUUUUGAUUUUAAGAUACUGAAUCUUCCCCGGGGGGGGGGGGGGAAUUAAAUCUGGAAUUUUGGAAUCUGGAAACACCUAUUAAGACUCAUUAUGUUCCGGGGAACUUGUUUUUUCAUUUUUAGAAAGCAACUUAUAUAUAUAAAUGUAUGUAUAUAUAUCUUUACCGUAAAAUUGCCCUGAGGUGAGUUUUGUUUUUCAAUACGAGGCUAUAGGAUUAAGGGUAGCUGAGCACAAUUAAGAGCAAAAUUGUGUUAUUCAAUUAUUAUUGGAUGAGAAUUGAAAAUAUGUUCUUUAGGUGCUCCUGAGCAACUCUAUGAUCAUUUUAUUCGAAAUUUCACCUUUGAAGAAGUCUUACUCGUGGUGUUUGGGGAAGUAGUUAUGAAUGAAUUAAAAAAUUUUGAUUGUUUGAGCUGAUAACUGUUGUAUGCAAUUGUAUUCUCAUGUUUAUCACCAAGUAAUCUGGGAAAUAAAUCUCAUUGAGCGUAAAAACUUUAUGAAGAAAGUACUAUUCAAAUUCAAUUGAUUGUUCAAACUUCAAACAACUAUUUUAACCUUUGCCUCUAUGCUGCACUAUCUGCAUGGUUCCUAUGCAUUUUUCUUCUCUCUAUUGAUGAUUGAUAAAAAUUUUAGAUUGAUAUAUAUCAAAAUUGACAAUCUCUUCUGGUUUUUGUGGCCCGAGUGCAGGUAUGAUAGCUGUCUGGUUCAAGACUAACACUUAGUUACUUAUUCAAGGGUUCUAUUUGAUCAAGUUUUCUAGGACUUUUUACAUUGCAUUAUAUUGUUCAGUGCUUUGGAGCUUUGCAUCAGGAUUUGUCAUCUGAUUUUCUUUGUACAAGUUAACAAGUGACGAUUCUAUAGUUUUCAGUUCGCGUCUCACAGAGAUACAGAUUACAUAAGACUGCGGUAGGAAAUAUAUUCAAAGUUCAGUGUCCUGGUAAGUUUAUGUUAAGAUAAAGACGAAUUAAUCUCUUUAUGUUAUGAAAUUAUUGACAGUGGGUGGCAUGUCUCCCAUUUGUAGAUUGGCAUAUUUAUCACUCUUCCACGUUGCUGUUGUUUAUAAUUCAUAUGGGCAUCUAGGUUUACUUUAUGUUUAGUGGCUCUAGGUAAAAAUAAACUUUCAGUGGACUCUAAAUGAGCUAAAGUAGUUCAUAGGUGAUGCUGUUUGUUCUGACUUAUAUGAUGCACUUAAUUUUAUUUGCCUUGUGUGUGUGUGUGUGUGUGUGUUUUUUUUUUGGGGGGGGGGGGAUCUUACUGGAGGACUUCAUAAUAUCUAGCCGGUGCUGGUGGUUGAUCCCUAUAAGGUUUUUGAAAUGAGCCGUAUUUUGCACCUGAGAUUGAGUUUGGUCACUAUUUGUGUGGAAGUCAAGGAAACUAGAGGAUUUUCAUUCCUUUUCCCUUCUGCACCAUGCCUUUCCAAGAAAUAAAGAUGUUGGGGUUUCUGGGAAUGUUUUCGGGUUUCCUUUUUCUUUUUUUUCUUUCUAUGGGACCUUGGGUGUAUUUUAUGGUCUGCUUCUUUUCUAUUGUUUGACAUGCUGCCAUCUUUUAUACCUUGGUAUGGAGACUUCUGAAAAUUCUCCAUGCACGGUGCUAGUUUUGCGGUUUAUAAUGUUCGUUGUCUAGUUUAUCCUUUGAUUAAUGGACUAUUUUUCCCGUUACCUGAUGAAUUCAAUAUGCUGAGUAACUUUACACAGCAUGUUCAAGAUGGCUGGUGUUAAACGAAGAAUAAUUACUGAUUUGGAUGUCCGUGCUCUCCAUAAAGAACUGGAUGAAGUCUCAUGUCCAAUCUGCAUGGACCAUCCACAUAAUGCUGUUCUCCUGCUGUGCAGCUCGCACGACAAGGGUUGCAGAUCUUACAUUUGUGACACAAGUUACAGGCAUUCAAAUUGCCUAGACCGAUUUAAAAAAUUAAGGGCUAAUUCUAGUAAGAGUCCAAUAUUACCUCAUCCCUUCCCCCUAAACCCUCCGAAUUCUAGUACUUUUGAUUUGAACUUGGCAUUAAGAACUGAUUUUGUUGAAGGUAAUGGAAGUCAAAAUCUGAAUGAAACCAAUAGCAUGGCAGGAGGAUCAGACGAUAAUAUCCGAGAGCCAACUAGGAAUCUUGAUUCACAAGGAGAAGGUAUUAUAGAAAUAGCAGACUCUUACUCCUUCCGGGGAAGAUCUGAAUCCGAAGAUGUAGAUGCUGAGAAUUUUAAAUCUAGUUUGAAAUGCCCUCUUUGCCGAGGGAACGUACUUCGCUGGGAGGUUGUGGAAGAGGCCAGAAAGUAUCUAAAUUCGAAGAAGAGAACUUGUUCUAGGGAAUCUUGCUCCUACUCUGGAAGUUACCAGGAAUUGCGUCGGCAUGCCAGGAGAGUCCAUCCGACAAUACGACCUUCAGAUAUUGACCCAUCCAGAGAACGAGCCUGGCGCCGCCUUGAGCACCAAAGAGAAUACGGUGACAUUGUAAGUGCUAUUCGAUCUGCCAUGCCAGGUGCUCUUGUGGUUGGAGACUAUGUUAUUGAGAAUGGAGAUAGGUUGGCAGCUCGAAGGGAGAAUAGCACUGGUGAAGCAAGUUCACCAUGGUGGACUACUUUCUUUCUGUUUCAGAUUGGUUCAGUCGACAAUGUUGGUGAAUCAAGAGCCAGGUCCAGGGUUUGGUCAAGGCAUCGACACCCUGGAGGAGCUGUAUCUGAGCGGAGGUUCCUUUGGGGCGAGAAUCUCUUGGGUUUGCAAGAUGAUGAUGAUGAAGAUGAUGUGCGUGUAAUAAGUGAUGUAGGUGAAGAUGCAUCUCCAAGCCCAAGGAGACGCAGACGCCUGACGCGGUCAAGGUCAGAUGAAGAUCAGUCAUGAAAUAUAUCAGAUAAUUUUUGCAGGUAAGUCUCAGUUGCUUGACAUUAUUUCGAAUGGGAUUUAUUUCGAACUGCUUUUCCCUGACCCGGUUGGUAGUAUUCAUCCCAAGUAGUGUGCAUAAGCUUUUGCUGGUCUCAGAAUCCACCAUCUUGUGGGUUUCUAGUAUGUGUCAUCUGGAAUUAUGUAUUCAGACUUUUAUGUAUUCUGGCUUUAGACAAAUGUAUUUAGAUGUACUGAAGCUCAAACCAGUAUUUCUCUUCACUGGUCCUGCAUUCCUAAGGAGUCUUAUACUGGCAUUUACUCUUGUGCUUUAUAUUAUGGAAAAUUAUUUGGUACAGGGUUAAAUGAGUCGAUUCCGAUUCAUUUUUAUCCAUGUCUAUUACUGGGCUUUUAGAAGUUGCGGAACCGGUCCCAUUAAAUAAAUCAUUAGUAAUUUUUAAAAAUAAUUAUUAAAAAAAUAUCAGAUCUGGUUCAAUAUGUUUAAUAGUUGGUUCAAUUCUCGAUUCAAUCAAUGGUUGGUUUUCGUUUGGUUUAAACAUGCAUUAAUUAAAGCAAAAUUUGAGAAAUCAUUACAUGUUUUCAGAUUAUGAUUCACGAAAAUGAAUAUCUAAGUUAUUAUUUGAUUUGUUGAGAUAAAUGAUAAGAGAAUUUUAUUCAUAGUAAGAAAUCGAAUUUAUUUUUAUUUAUAAUAUAAGAAGCUUAAAAAGAGUUGUUAAUAGAAAAACCCAACAAUUUAUUACGUUGCACUUGUAAUUGUCAAGUGUGAAGGUGACUAAUUAUGUAGCUCAUCGAUGCCCCUUGCCCAUGGAAGGUGGUAUAGAACCAACAAAAAUACCUUUCUACAUACAUCAAGGGCACAGUUGCAUUGUACGGGAACAUGGUUAGAAGAGAAAACUAAAGAAGGUUUUGUGUUUUUGAUAUUUCUGAUGAAAAAUUGAAUCUGCAAUCCUUUUCCUUUGAAACACACCAUCCAAUGUAGUGAAGGCAAUAUACCUAUUUCAAGUUUAAGGUGGCCUUCGAACCAAUAUAUCAAUAUUGCUCCAAUUUUUAUAUCACGUGAUCUUUACAAUUUUUAGCUUAUUUUUAGUUUAUCGGGUCACAUACGAGUACCUAUUUUCGUUAAUAAUUUUUAGUAUAUUUGUUUUGAUAAUUAAUUUCUUAUUAAGCUAAAAAAAAACCAACGUGUGUUCAUUUGGAGCAAAAAUUAUUCCAAAAAAUGUUUUUCAUAUUUUCCGGUGUUUGAUAAAGCAUGGGAAAGUGGGUGUUUUCCCGUAAAAUGACUUAUCCCCUAUUGUCAUUUUACGCUUCCUUUUCUUCCCCCCUUCACUCCUCUCUCCUUGGAGUCUUGUCCCUCACCGGUAAUAUCGACGGUGACCCACGAUGCAAUAUCAGUGAUACUGACGGACCCAUCUCCAGAUACUUCCUUUGAGAUCGUCGUCCUGGUUUUAGACCUCAAGCUCAUUGGCCAUCGUUUCAUAUUCUUAAUUCCCAUGAUCUUUUACAGUUUUACUUGCUUUUAUGUUUUCCGUUUUUCUUAAACUACUUAAUAGCUAAAAGUCAUGGGUUUUGUUUGAAGGUUUAAUGCUAGUGAUGGAAAGAUGAAAGUGAGAGCCAUCUUUUCAUCAAAUAUGUUAUCUGCUAUAAGUUCAGGUAGUACCCAAGGCACAGGAUUCUUGACUAUACCUUUUAUGUCAUUCUCAUCAAAUUUGUUCUAUAUGAUAUAGUUUCUAGAGCUGGAUAAUCAAAACUGUUAUGGGUUUUCAGAUGUUUGAUUGUAACAAAAUGUGCAAUCGGUAUGGAAAUCAAAGUUGAAGUGAAUACUUUGAAGAAGCAAAGCUUGAAAUUGUGGUCAAAACAGAAGGGGCUGGUAAUUUCAAGUCAAAGCAAGAAAUGUGUUUAACGAGAAUUCUGUGGUGGAAGGGGUUAUUAAUGAAGAAAAAAUUAUUCUUCAACUUUGUUCCCAUUGAUUAGUUGGGCCAUUACGUUAAUGGAAGAAUUCUUCACCAUAAGCUAAUGGACAUGUAAUCACUUACUGUUUUACUUUGAAUUCAGAUAGUAUUGGAGUUGUCCAAAGUGUUACUUCAACAAGGAAUUAGUAUCAGUCCUCAACUUGUCCAAGCAUUCUACAUCUCUUUUGUAUUGAUUGUAAUCUUGUAUCAUUGCCCUUGUUUACGUAACCUAUAUUUGUUUAUUGGAGAUUUAGGUCUUGGAUUUCAUGUAAGCUUUUAGCAUUUCUUCACUUAACAAUUAUUGCUCAUUGCUCUUAAGAAAUUAUAAAUUUAUAAAAAGAGGAAACUAGAAUGUCUUGCGCUUAUAAAAUUGCAUUGUUAAUGUUUUAUGAAAUUGCCAAUAAAUAUUGCUAAAAAAUUACUAUACAACUUGACAUUUGAGUGAUGGAACAUUUAUAGAAACAUUUAUAUGAGCAUGUUUACUUUGCUAUGAUGAAAUUGUUUUCUAGCAAUUAUGAAAGAAAUGAUUAAUAAUAUUUCAAUGUUUUUAUAAUACUGCCAAAUUGUUAUGAUAUUGCUUUUUUUAUUAUUAUUAUUAAUGUUGUUUGUUGAAUUAUAAUUAAUAUUCAAAAUUUAGUUUUAUAAAUGAAUAAACAAAAUAAUAAUUGUCAAAAUAUUUAUAUUUUGUUUGUUUCAAAAAAAAAAUUGGAAGAUAAGUUCAGGAAACCCGUCAAAUUUAUUGACAAGUGCUGAAAGUAACACGUUUUAAACUCAUUUUUAACAUGUUUGUGUUAUCCGAUGUUUAUUGCGAAUUUUAUACUCCUAAUAUUUUAAAUUCAUGUUUUUAUGCUUAAUAGAGCACUUGAGAGCAAAAGGAGUGAAAAAUGAGUGAAAAUCGGAGCAUUGGAGCCACAUGGGUUGAAUCAUUUUACACUGCCAGACCACACAGCUAUGUGAACGAUAUGGGCAUGUUGCAGGCUGUGGCGAUUUCACGGGAUUGCACACUAAACAACGGAAAAUCACGAUUUUUAAAUUUUUCGAGCAUUCUAAGACGUAUAUAUGACAAAAAUAAGAAGAUAAGAGAUGACCGUCAGAGAAUACUCAAGAAAACUACUCAAAAAAUGUCAUUGAAGUUGAUUUUGAAGCAGAUUUCUGUCAAGAUUUAAGAUUCCUAGUUGAUUUCUUAGGAAGUUAUCAUGAGUUUCUUUAUUUCUUUCGGUUAUACUAUAUCUUGAAUUUUUUUAUUUUCUAGCAUUAACUAAUUUUCUAAAUACCUAGGGGAGAUGAAUCUUAUGAUCGAUUCUGUCGUUUGAUUUUUUUUAUUUUACGCAAUAAAUUCUUAGUUUCUUAUUCUCAAUUAUGUGUGCUUAAUUCGUGGUUUAAUAUUUCUAGAGUUUUGAUCCAUGUUCGAUGUGCUUAAAUUGAUAGUUGAAUAAAUCCUGUUUAAGAUUAGAGCAUGGGUAAUUGAGUAGAGUUGUAUGCAAUAUUAGAAAUAGGACGACAUAAAACUAUCAGAUUAGAGUUAAAUCUAAAAGGAGAAUCCAUAGCAUAAGCUAAUGUGAUAAUAGGGGUUUUAAUUAGAAAUAAAUUUCAAUUAAUUAACCUAGAGUCAGUUGUUCUUAUGCUCGAAAGAGAUAUUAGCAUAAUUUAGGGAUUUUUACGAAUCAAUGUGCAAAGUAAAGAAAUUGUGUAAUUUAGAUUAAUAGUGACAGAUGAAGUCUAGGCGGAUUCUUUCCUGGGUAUUGUUUCGCUUCUUGAUUGUUAUUCGAUUAUUUUCAUGUUUUGUUCUUUGUCAUGUUUAUUAGUUAAUUAAAUUAGUUAAUUUUAGUUUUAACUAAUCAUUCGAAUUAAUUAGUUAAAUAAUAGAAAGACGAUAAUUACUAGUACUUGUAGUCCUCAUGGGAACGAUAUAUUUACUCACCGUAAUUAUACUAUUAAUUGAUAGGUGCACUUGCCUUAGUCAAAAUUUUAGUUAGUUUCGUGACCAUCAAGUUUUUUGUGUCGUUGCCGGGGAUUAGAUCGAAUAUUAGAAAAAUUUUAUUUCUAUUAAUUAGUCAUUUUUCAUUUUCAUUUUAACACUUUUAUUUUUAAUUUAAUUUUUAAAUUUUGAUUUUUUUGUUUGAUUCUUAUAGGUUUUUUGGUUUAUAACUAGAGGCAAUCCGUUGGAACCAUUCAUUUUUUACAGUGAGAUUUAAAAAAUUGCUCACAAAAAUCGAAAAGAUGUUAGAAAAGCAAGGCAAGGUCAACAACAUGUUUUCAUAAACGAUGAAGAGCAAAAUGACAUUACUAUGGAGAUGGAUAAUAAUCUUGGUAGUCCGCAACUUCCUGCACGUCUUGCUCCUUGGACUAUAUAUGACUAUACUAAGCUUGCUCUGAUUGAGGUUGAAUUGAGUAUUUUCAGACCUACUGUUGUUGCAAAUAAUUUUGAGAUUAAGCCGAACACAAUUCAGAUAGUGUAACAAUAUGUUCAGUUUGAUGGGUUGCAAGAUGAAAAUCCAAACGCUCAUUUAGCCAACUUUUUAGAGAUCUGCGACACAUUUAAGAUCAAUGACGUGACUGAUGAUGCCAUACGCUUGCGGUUGUUCUCAUUCUCUUUGAGGAAUAAGACAAAACAGUGGUUGAAUUCACUUCUAUGGGGUUCCAUCACCACUUGGGCUCAGAUGAUUGAAAAGUUUUUGAUGAAGUACUUUCUACCGACUAAAACAAACUAAGUUGAGGAAUGACAUCUAUUCUUUUUCUCAAUUUUAUCUUGAGACGCUUUAUGAUAUACAAGAGAGAUUUAAGGAUCUGUUGAGAAUGUGACCUCAUCAUGGAUUACCUUUGUGGAUUCAAGUGCAAAGUUUUUUUACAAUGGUUUGAACCCUUCGACCAGACAAAUGAUUGAUGUAGUAGCUGACAGAACACUAAAUAACAGAACACCUGAGGCUGCCAUUCGAUUUUGAUUUUAGGCCAAUUAAUAGUUAUAUAUAUACAUACAUAUAUGUAUUAAUAUCUUACAAUAUAUCAUUAUAUGAUGUAAUACUAUAUCACAUUCUAUAAUAGUAGAACAUAAUAUAUUAAUUAUUAUAAUGCUUGUAAAGUCCUUAUACUCUUUGUAUAUUUGAAAGUUAACUUUUCUACUAUAUUAUAUAAUGUCAUAUCAUAUCCUAUGUUUAUUUAUACGUGUUAAGGUCAAGUUAGGCAAUCGAUUGAUUUAAUGUUUUCUGUUCAAUCUUGGUUUUGAAAUUUAAAACUGUUUAAACCAAAUUAAUUAACUUUACACCUAUUAAAUAUAAUAUAUAUUUAAAUACAAAUCUAAACCUAAACUCAAUUUAAACUUUAUUCAAAACCAAACAUGAAUAAAAAUAAACUCAUUCCAAAUUUAAAAUUAUUAUAAAUAUAAUAAUAUUAAUAAAAACAUUAAACUAAAAGUAAAACCAGAAUUCCCAAAUCAUAAAAAAAAAUUAAAAUUAAACUUAAAAUUUCAGAUCGUUAAAAUUAAAUUUAUUACUCAUGUUAUUUGUAAUAACAUAAUAAAUCAUGUUUAAUUAUUUGUUAUAAGUAUAACACUAGUUGUUGUAUUAUUAAAUUAAUAUAUUAUGUCAUUAUAUAUUUCAUAUUAUCAUUAAAUUUAAAUCUUCUAGAUUAUAAUAAUUAUUAAUUUUAUAUAUUUAUUAUACAUAUAUAAUUAUAGAAUUAAAAAUAUUUUAUAUCCAAUUAAUGUUUUUAAAAAUUUAUUUUAUUUUAUAAUUUAACAUAAAAAAUAUUAUAAUUACUUUUUCUAUUAAUAAAAUUUUAAUUUUAAUAUGUAAUGCUUAUGAACAUAUUUCAAAAAAUAAAUAAUUAUCAUUUAAUUUUAUUUUAAGCAAUAUUAUAAAAUUACGUUAAUUAUAUUUAGCUAUAAAUUCAAAAAUUUCAAAUCAGAUCGAUUUCAAACUUGAAUUUUUAUGAACUUGAGUUUAUUUUUUUUUAUCUUCAGUUUUUCCAAAUUUAAAAAUUUUGGAUUCAAAGAGCACAAAGUUUUCCAAACUUAAAUCAUUAGACUAAAAUUGACAUGAAUAAAGUUUGGAAUUCAGACAUAUUUUCCUGGUUAGAAUUUGGUCACAGGUAUCUAGAUUUGUGUGGCUCUUUUACUUUAGUAAGUAAUGGUUAUGAAAAAGGUAAAAGUGGAGGGGACAGAAGCUAUAGCCUAGGCCGUGGAAGGGUGUGCAGUGAUCGCUCAAGGAGUAUUAAAUAGGGGUGAGUAAAAUUCGAUUCGAUUCAAAAAAUUCGAAAAAGAUUUCGAAUUUCGAAUUAUUUGAAUCGAGUUAAUCGAAUUAAUCGAGUUAAUCGAAUCAAUUUGAAUUUUUUUUCGAAUUUCGAGUUCGAAUCGAAUUAAAUUUUUAAAUUCGAAUAAUUCGAAUAAUUCGAAUAAAAACUAUAUUUUUUAUUUUUAAAUUACAAUACAUAUAUUUUUUAUUUUUAAAAGUUAAAAGUUACAGUGCAUUAGUAAACCACUUCCAAUUUCCAAAAUCCCUAACUAAGCCCGUGCGUGCCCUCCCUCCCUCCCCCCUUUUUAUCCCAAUUCGAAGACCUCCACCGGACCACCACCACGAAUCCACCUCCACCUCCAGUCCUCCACGGCUGAGCUCUGCGCAUCUUCAUUCUUUCUAAAGCAACUGAUUUGAGCCGUACAGGUAAGGUAACAUUCAAACUUCCCUCUUUCAAGUUUCAACAGUAUUAAUUCUUCAAAAUCAAGUUUCAAGAUCAGUUCAGACCUAUAUUUUUCAGCUCCAUCAGUCUUUGUUACUGCAGCACCAUUUGUAGCGUCUAUAUUUUUAGAUGCAUGUUCUGCAUUCAGAUCAGUAUCAGGUACAAAACUAGAUAUUGCGAUAAGUAACUCGCGAGCUAGCUCCUUGCUGCCAGUAGGUGUUUUACCCAUAUAAUGUCAGUUUUUUCCUGCAAUACAAAACCCAAAGUUAAAUCUGGCUUUCUUUUCAAAGGAUAUAGAAACUCCACAAGUUUACAAACAGAAUAGCAUAUAAUAGAGAUGAAGAAUCAUCCACCAUUCAAUUGGUUCCGUAAUUUGAAUUUUGAAGCAUAAUGCUGGCCAUUUAGUUAUAUUUAGAAAAGAUACAUUUCAUAUUUUGACCCAAUUUAUAUAUAAACUAAUACAUGAUUUUCUAUUAAAAAAUAAGUGAUUUUUUUACAACUUUUUUUAAUUUGUUGGCUGUUGCUGUACCUUAACUCCUUCAAUGCGAUAAAGUUGUUUUUUAUGCUCAUCUUAUCCUACCAUGCUUUUGUAUUGUAUUAUUAUUUAUUAUGCUCUUAAAAAAAUUUAAGUUUGAUUUAUUAAGUUUGAUUUUAAACCAAUUUUUGGUCAUGGUUACUGAUUGCAACAAAUGUUUACUUGUAGAUGAGUGAUCCAAAGCGAGAUGGUUCAACUCAAAGUUCACAAAAUUCUUCCCCAAGUAGAGAUGAUCAAACAACAACCAAGGAAAAUGUUUGAAAAAAGAUUAUUCCAAGGGCAGCUUGUUGGAACCAUUUCACCAAAUUUGUGACUGAAGAGGGGGAGAAGAGAGCAAGGUGCAAUGCAUGUGAUGUUACUUACACAAUGGAAUCAAGUUCGGGUUCUACAACGAAUUUGAAUAACCAUUUGAAAGCAUGCCUGAAAAGACCUCGAGGUAAUACUUCUAAUCCGAAGCAAUCAGAAUUAACAUUUGUGAAGGUUAGCCAAGAAACAACAGAUUUAUCAACUUGGGUGUUUGAUAAAGAUGCUGUUAGAAAAGCAUUGGUUCGUAUGAUAAUUAUGGAUGAACUACCUUUUAAAAUUGUAGAGGGAGAGGGUUUCAAAUACUUUCUUUCUAUAGCAUGCCCACGGUUUAGUCUUCCAUCUCGUUGGACAAUUAGAAGGGAUUGUCUUGAUUUAUUUAACUCCAUGAAGACUGUGAUGAAGAACUGUUUUGAAAAAGAUAUAAGUAGAGUUUGUUUGACGACAGACACUUGGACUUCAUUGCAAAGGAUAUCUUAUAUGGUUUUAACAGCACAUUGGGUGGAUGAUGAGUGGAGGUUGCAAAAAAGGAUUAUAAAUUUUUGCCCAAUAUCCGCUCAUAGAGGUGAAAGCAUAGGUCAAGCCAUUGAAAAAUGUCUUCGAGAUUGGGGGAUUGAGAGGGUCUUCACUAUUACAGUUAAUAAUGCAUCCGCCAAUAGUGUUGCCAUAGAAUAUUUGAGAAAGAAAUUGAAUCAUCGAAAUGCUUCUGUUGCAAAUGGAAAAUUUAUUCAUAUGAGAUGUGUUGCACACAUUCUUAAUCUCAUUGUGCAAUACGGUAUUAAGGAUGCUUCUGUGUCUGUGGAUCGAGUUAGAGGUGCUGUGAGGUAUAUAAGAGCAUCACCAUCGAGGUUGGCAAAAUUCAACCAACGGGUAAAAGAAGAAAUGAUAGAUAGUAAGGCUCUAUUGUGUUUAGAUGUGCCUACUAGAUGGAACUCAACAUAUAUGAUGUUAAAGGUGGCUGAAAAAUAUGAGCGUGCAUUUGAAUCAUAUGUACGUGAUGACCAUCAUUUUUUUCUUGACCUUACUGCUGGAGAUGGAGUACCUACAUUUGAUGAUUGGGAAAUUGUUCGAAGAAUUAUAAAAGUAUUAGAGCCUUUUUAUCAUCUUACAUUGAAGGUGUCCGGAUCUUUGCAUGUUACCUCUCAUUCACUUUUUGAAGUAUUGACGGAUGUGCAUUGUCUUUUUGAUGGGUGGUAAGAGUGUGGAGAUCUAGACAUAAUUUCUAUAACUUGCAAAAUGAGAGAGAAAUAUAAUAAGUAUUGGGGUGAAGGAAACAAGAUCAACAUGCUAGUUUACUUAGCAGUCAUCUUUGAUCCGCGAUGUAAAAUGAGUUUUUUGGACUUUGGGGUCAACUUGCUUUUUCCUAAUGUUGCUAAUGACGUUAUGAAAAUGAUUGAUAAAGAUUUGCGUUGCUUGUUCAAUGAGUAUUCUUCUAAUGCCGGAAGAAUUGAAUUGUUUGAAGGUAGAUCUAGUUUUUCGACAAAUCAUUGCAAUUCAAUGGAAAUAGAUCAGUCAUAAAUGAAAACGGGCUUGGCCAAACAAAAAUACCUUAAGAAGAAGAAACAAGUUGGAUUAGAAAGCAAAUCUGAGUUGGAUAGAUAUUUGGGUGAGGAUGAAGAAGUAAAUGAUUCAAGUUCAUUUGAUUUACUAUUGUGGUGGAAAAUGAACACUCCUAGAUUCCCUAUUCUUGCACAAGUGGCUCGAGAUAUUCUUGCUAUUCCUAUCUCAACAGUUGCCUCGAAAAGUGCAUUUAGCACGGGUGGACGUGUUCUCGAUAGUUUUAGAAGUUCUCUAACUCCUGUCAUGAUCGAAGCUUUGGUUUGCACACAAGAUUGGCUUCGGAAAUCUAAUGGUGUCAUCAAUCUUGAAGAUUAUUUUGAUGAACUUCAAACAAUGGAAGAUGGUAAUAUAUAAAUUUUAAUUUAUAAAAUAAGCUUUUGUAUUCUUUAUAUUAGUAAGCAUUCCCAUAAUUUAACUAACACUUUUGUUUUUAAAUUUGCUAGACUUAUCCAAAAUACCCGAAGAUCAAGAAGGUAACAUACUUAGCAUUAGUUUAUAAAGUUAAAUGUUUAUUUAAUUUAUUUUUGCAAAUUUUUAUUAUUAUUUAACUAACUCAUUCAAUACUUUUACUAGAUGUUUCAAGAUUAUUAACGGUGUUUGAAGCACAAGAAAAAGCUUAAACGUUUAUAUAAUAGUUCUUGAACUGAUGUGUUAUUGUUAGUAGUUUGGUUUGGUUUGGUUUGUUAUUGGUUAAUUGGACUUUUGUUGUGUUCUUUUGGUGUAGGUUUCUAUUGUAUUUUGGACUUUUGCUUAUGUUUUUUUUAUUAUAAUGUUGUUGUUUAUUUCGACUCAUGCUAUUUACUUGGACUUUUACUUAUGUUUAUAUUAUAAUCUUUUUGUAUUAUUUUUGUUGUUUAUUUGGAAUCAUAUUGUUUAUUUGGGUUGAUGAUGUUGUGUUGCUUUUAUUUAUUCACUUAUUUACUUCAAUUUUUUUGUUGUAUGAUCAUGUUUAAAAACUUUAAAUAAAAUUAUUUUUUGGAAAAUUACAUAAAAAUAAACAACACUAUUUUUUUUAACUUUAACUCGAACAAAUAUAUUCGAUUCGAUUCGAAUUCUAUCUCACUCGAUUCGAUUCGAUAAAACUUCAAAUAAAGUUAGGAUGAUAAAAUGAAAUUCGAAAAUUCGAUUAAUUCGAAAAUUUUCGAUUCGAUUCGAUCGAAUGCUCACCCUUAGUACUAAAGCACAAUCAAGGACUGAAGCUACUGUCUUUUUUCACUCUAGCUAGAUGCUUGGUGGGAAAAUGAUUGCAUUACUGUUUUUUUUAAAAAUUACACGUGUUUUUUUUAUCCAUAUUACAAUUUGAUUAUAGUAUUUAAGUAAAUCCAUUUUUAAAAUAUUUUAAAAAAAAAUCCGAUUGAUGUUGCAUUGCUGUUUUUAAUACUGUGAGACGUGGCUUACAACCUAAAGCAUUAUUAAGCAAUGCGUUGGCAAAUGGAAUAUAUUUGUCUUUUCCUUGGAGGUCUCUAUGCUUUUUCUAUUUGCCCAUUCAAACAAUUAAAGCCAUGCCCCAUAUUAAAAAAAACCUCGCCAAUAUCCUUAAAUACUGUUAUAAAAAAACCAACUUAAUUCCCGUAUUAUCUUUUAAAAUUGACAUUUUUGCCUAAUUAACACUCCAUGGAGUGGAUUGAAAGGACAAGUUACGAGACACACUCGUUCCAUGUAAACUCAAAUGCCCGAAAGUUACAAGGCAAACAUGAAUUAUCUUUAUUCAAUCGUAAAUGUAUGGAGUUGAUGGAAACCGAGUGUUACCAAACAUAUGUUAGUGGCAUUGCUACUUAAAUUUAGGACCAUCUUAGAAUCUUUGCAGCUUGAACCUAGGCGGUAAGACGGCCGCAUUCACGUGCUCAGCUUUCUUUGUUUUCAUCAUAUUGCUACAUGGGCCACAUUAAUCAUCGCUGUAUGUUAUUAUUAUUAUUAUUAUUUACGGCCAAACAAUUUGUGUGCAUACAAAAGACUCAUUGAAUGCUCCUAUAAAAUAGAUUAAAGAAAAGGAAAUCUUGUAUGCUUUUAAAUUUUUUAAGCAGCAGACUGCAGAUAUAUAUAAAAAUUUAGGAAUAUGGGUGUUCAAACUGUUAAUUCGAAUCGAAUUAAUAUUAAUCGGAUUAAUUAAUUUUUUUAAUCUUUUAACCGUUAACUGAAUCAGAGUUUUUUUAAAAAAAUUAACCAAAUCGAAAUAUUUCGGUUAAUUUGGUCGGUUAAUCGAAUUAACCAAAAUUUAUAUAUUUUUAUCUUUAGUUUGUUAAAACAAGUAUAAAACAUAUAUAAUAAAUAAAUUAAUAAUGUUCAUUUGACCAAUUUAACCGAAUUAAAACUACUAUAAUUUGUAUUAUUAAUUAAUAAUUCAGUUAAUUAUCCGAUUUCAAACCGAAUUAACUAACAAUCGAACUUCCAAAAAACAACCGAAUUAAAUCGAAUCUGUUCAAUCGAUUAAUUCAGUUUUAACUAAAAUUUGAACACCCCUACCCGUGAUGUCGGUUCUACCUCUUAAUAAUUUAAAUUACAAUAUAUCUAAUUUAGUUUAAAUUUUUUUAUUAAUGCAUUUAUUUAAAAAAAGUGUACCCAUCCCCAAACAUCCUGACAAUGGAUAGUUGCGGUUGAGGAAUACAAAGGAAAUAAACCAAAAAUCAAGGAGUAAUUAUUGUAUCUCUAAGUGUAUAUUUUUGUUUUGGUAUUGGUAUAUAUUAAUAUAUUUGAUAUGUGGUUUUGGGUUUAUCAACGUGGAACCAACUAGUUAUUACAAAAAUAAAAAAUAUUGAUAAACUAUAAACUUUAAACCCUAAAUUCUAAAAAGAAUUAAAAAUUAAUUAAUUUUUUAUUUAAAUUUAUUGCUUUUAAUUUAUACUAGUCACUAUGCUUUCAUUUUCAAAAAUACUAGGCCUCGGCUCUUACUUGGACAAAAGCUUACGGAUGUAGAGACAAGAUGAUUUCUUUGGACUAUUUUUCUCAAACCAAAAAAGGGUGGCAGCGCCCAGAUUUAGGCUGGGUACAGCUUAAUGUUAAUGGCUCCGUUGCAAAUAGUAAUACUAAAGCAGCGAUCAGAGGAGUUAUACGAGAUAAUAAUGGGCAGCGGCUGUCGGGUUUGGCCGUGGUAACAGGAAUGACUGAGAUUUUACAGGUGGAAGCAAGAGCUAUAGUGGAAUGGAUGAAACUAGUUUGAAAUCUUUGAGGCAUAUUUUCAAUUCGUAAAUGAGGAGUUUUGAAUAAUAAAAUUAUAAUUUUAUCUUCUACCCCAUAAGACCUUUACAAUGAGAUAUCAUAUGCUUAAAAUGGUUGAGUGAUGAAUGAGAAAUUGAUACUCAAAGUAAGCUACUUGUGAAUUAUGUUAAGGAAAAUGAAAAGCAUUAGUCCCACAUUGAUUGAGAAUCAAGUGUGAAACUUGUAUAUAUAUGUGAACCAAUUUAAUAAUUAGUUAAUGACUAAACUAAUGCUUUUUUUCAUGCACAAGAGGUAUGCAAAUUCAAAUUCAUUGGGGUCAGGAGCGCACGACGUGGGUGACGCAAAAUAUUUGGACUGAUUGGGCCUUUUUAAGCCUAUGGAUGUUUUAGCCCAAUACGUGUUUAUUUCUUUUCUCAAUGUCAGACGUUAAUUUGGAUUGGAUGACCUUAAUUCAAGACGUUAUAAUUCCAAAUUACUCAAAGUUUUCAAUAAUAUCUUUUUAUACUGGAAAUAAUCAGAAUACAAAGAGACAAGAAUUCUUAUAAUUUCCUUUGAAAAUUUGAUCACGCAACUGCGCUAUUGUGGUGUUCAUCUAGUUGUUGUAUCCUGGGAGACAAUCGUCCGAUGUUUCUCCAGCGCGAAAGGAGCGGUCGAAUCUGUCUUAAGGAGACUGUGUUCCACAGGCCUCAACUCUGAAUCGAUUUCGAACUUGUUUACAGUAAACAUUUUUUUUUAAAUAAUAUUUUACUUGUUAUUCCUGUUCUGAUCUUGUGAUUUAUUUGAUUUAAAUUAAUAUACUUAAAUAUUUUUUAUUACUGUGUGUUUGCUAACGAUUGUGCAACAACUGGUUUGGAUAAAAAGGUAUAAACAUGUUGAGAUUAAUUGUGGUAAUGUGUUGCUUGUUGAUACUAUUCGUAAUGGUUUUGCACCACUUAGCAACAUUCUUGAAGUUCGGUUGAUACAUGAAUGGUGUAACAAGGAUUGGAAGGUAAAAUUUAGGCAUAUUUUGCGAGAAAGUAACAAAAUAAUGGAUUUUUUGGCAAAGACGAUAAUGGAGAGCUAAACCAAUUAAUUCUCUUUGAAGAUCCACCGCAAUAUAUACUACGACUGCUUGAAGAGGAUGCCCAUAGUUCUUUGCAUGAAGAUGCCACUGUUUCUACUCAUUUCUAGGCUCUAGGAGUGUUUUAUCUUUUAAUUACCAAAAAGAAAAAAAAA